AAAAAAAAAAAACAAAAAAUGUUUGAACUAAAAAGAAAAAUGGUGCUAGAAAAAGAGCCAAAAAAUGUACUCAUGAUUGGUACAAAUUCGAAAGGAUAAGUGAGAGAAACGUGUAUCAUAUCACCAAGGUAGGAAAAAUUAAUUUCCUACUCUUCAAUUAGUCUAAGUUAUAUCAAGUUUCACUCUAGACUCGCUAAUUUCAAUAAUAUCAAAUUAUCAAUUUCAUACCAUAUAUAUUUAUACCAAAAACCUGCCCUUAAUGGAAGUUUAUAAAACUACUAUGUUCACUUCAAGAACAAAUGAAACUUUAAACUCAAAGCUGCAGCAGUAGCAACCACACAACAUGCAAGAAAAUAUACAACCAUGAAGCAAAUAUAGGGGUUGAAGAACUCAUAGCUAUAUUCCAUUUAGGUCGAUUGGAUUAAAUUUUAUUUACGUUCUGUUCUGGUUUUCUUUUAAAACAAUACAUUACGAGUAUUGUUGAAGUGCAUGCUCAUCUUAAAGCAAAGUAUCAAAAACAGUUCUUGCAAGCGCGCGCACACAGAAAAAAAAUCACAAUGACUAUAAGAUCUACUUCAGUUUAUUUUACAGAACGAUCCUUACAAGCAGCAGUAUUUACCUGUUUAGACAUGUAUGCUUCGUAGAUUUCCACGACAAGCCGUGGAUCCUUCUCGACGAGUUCCAUAUACUCAUCCCUUUUGGUAAGCUUGUCCAUGUUGUCGAUGAUCAUUGACAAAGCUGCAUCGAUCAUAUGCACGCCAUUGUGCUGGUGUGCAAAUACGUAGUUCAUGAUUGAGUUGUCCCAGUUCAGUUUUGAUAUUAGGAACUUCUCGCAAUGUGCCUUCAAAUGCUUCACUUCGUACUUCUCAGCCAAAACUAGAAGGUCAUAAGCCAUUUGCUCAUCAAGACAGGCUUCUGCUGUGUACAAAUAAUUAACAAAGGCACGGAGAGCAUCAAAUGACACAUCACUGAUUUUUAUGGUACCACUACGACUUUCUUCCAUUUCAUUCUCAAGCAUAGCUCUGAAAACUGGGGAGCGACUCACCUGGAGGAUACAUGAAAAAGGUACUCUGAUAAGAAAAAGGAACAGGGUCCUGUUUACAUACACUAGUCCAUAACAGGAGAAGCUAGCCAAAGUUAUAGCAAAUGUAUAUAGAACUCAGCUGAAAUAGCAUCCACCUUCACAUAGUCAGUCGAAAACCAAGUCGUUAAUAUUAAUACUCCUAUAUAUCUUAUUCCAUCUUUCAUCUAAUUUCCUAAUGGCACUAAAUUAUAAUCAUGUUAAAAUAAUAUUUAUCCACCACGGUACAACAGAGGUUACAGAAAAACAUCUUCUGACCUAUUCUCACUCUUAUGUUUAAUCUGCAGCAAAAAAAAAAAGGUAGAGGCCUCUCAUAUCUUCCGAUAAAAUAUAUAGGGAGAGACAUUAAAUAGGUAACUGAAGCACAAAUUGUCAUGAUUUAGACACCAUAUGUAGUGUAUGCCGUGAAUCUUUCCUUGAAGAACAUAUGUACUGCCAAGAAUGGUGAAAAAUCAUCUUGGAUAUAAGGAAUGCAGUUAGAUCAAAUAUUGCUAGUGAUGCCAUAGUUGUAAACUUUUUUAUUAUUAAUCACUCCAUGAGGCUUGCUAUGUUUAAUGAAUUUAAAUUUCUAAUAUUGCUUUAUGUGGCUGAAACACAUUUUGCAUUCGUUAUCAUCAUGCUUAAGAGGUUUCAACUAAUCAUAGAUGGUUUGCAAGGUGUGGUCGUAAGUGAUAAAUGGGCAAAUUAUAGAGAAGUGACGUGGCAAGUACAAGGCAUAUAAAGUAGCUGGUGCUUGAUGAUUUAUGGGGGAUAAAAUAGAAUGUAUUAUUUCCUUCACCUCACCUAUCUACGGCAUGAAUAGAGUUUGGAAUACUUGUCUACAUUUAAAAUGAUUAAAAAGAUCUGAUAAUAAUAUACAAACACAAGGGAUUGCAACCAAGUGAUUGGUCCUCUCUUUAUGAUGUAGUGUAACGUUCUCGUCUAAGAAGCACGAACACGAACACGGACACGGGACACGAAUACGAUAGGACACAGCAAUACGCCAAUUUCUAAAGUAAUAGGACACAGACACGUUGGGGAUACGUUAUUUUUUUAAAGUAUUUUUUUUGUAUAAUAUAUAAAUUUGAUACAAAAUACUAAACGUUUUUCAUUUCCUCAACAAAAAAAAAAAAAAAUACUAAAUGUUAACAAAACAUAAAAGGUCAAAUUAACAUUUAACCAUCGUAGGUUGUAAUAGUACAAAAAAAAUUAGGUAUAUUCAACAUGGAAAGUGAUUAUCCAUACAAAAGAAUAAAAUAUUAAAGACUAAUAAAAAACUAUCCUUUCAAAUCUCAAUAACAUCUUCAUCCUUAUCAACACCAUCCUCUUUAGUAAUUUCAGCCUCCAACUCUGGAACAUCAAAGAUAAAUUAGCUACUUCAAGCAUGCCUACAUUUUCAAGUGAAUCAAAAGCAUCCCCGCAAUAUCCCAUGCCUUGGUUUUUCCUUUUGAAUAUUCUGGAGUUUUUCUAGACAAAAGACGAAGGUUGCUGUGGAUAAAUACCAAAUCCUCUGCACGUUGAGGCGUCAUUUUGUUCCUCUUGAUGGAGUUAAUAAAAGAAUAUGUGCUCCAAUUUCUUUCACAACAUGAAGAGGAUGAUGGUUGUCCUAAAACUUUGAAGGCAAUCUUCUGAAGCAUUGGUGCAUAAGUCCCAUGAGUUGCCCACCAACUUAUAGAAUCUAUUGUGUAUCUCUCGCAUAUGGAAUCAUAAUCAUCAAAAUCUCCUGUUUUUGUAGAAAAUUGAGCAAAUUCUACAUUCACUUUUGCACGAUCCUCCGAGCUACUAAAAUACCUCUUCAUACACUUCAUUCUCUCUCUAGUUAGUUCGACAUCUUGAUGUGGAGCAACUCGAUUAGGAUCUUCUGUAAGCCAUUCUUCACUAUAGUAUUUAUAUAAAAGUUUUAAGAAAAUGUUAAACUCGAAAAAAUUAACUAAGAAUCAACUUAGAAUGUACUAUACUAAAAUUAAUUAAAUACCUUGGCUUCAAAGAAUGUGCUAAACAGUGAAGUGGAGUACUAUUCUUGUUCCAACGAUCAAUGAGAAUGUUAUACACCACGUCAUAGAAAGAAGAGAAUUCAGUUGGUCGCAACCCUUCGUGUUUAUAUAUGGACAUCUUCACCUUUUCAAUCAUUGUAUCCCACAUGUCAUACACCAAAUGUAAACAAGGUGUAUCUGUAUCACAAUCUCUUAGCAUGUCAUAUAUGGGUGAAGUGAAUGACAAAAUAUAACUAAUUUUGUCCCACCAAAUGCCAUCGAGCACCAACUCCUUUACAUGUCUUGCCUUGACCACAUCAUCUUCUCUGUAACUUUCCCAUUUAUCAUUGAUAACCAUAGCUUGUAAGCCGUCUUUAAUAAGCUUAAACCUUUUGAGCAUAAUAAUAACCGAUGGAAAACAAGUUUCAGCUAUUGAAAGUAAUUUAAGAGGCACAAAUUCAUUAAACAUGGCAAGUCUCAUGGAAUGGUUCAUUAUAAAAAAUUUCACUACCACGACGUCCCCAACAAUAUCAAAAAUCCAGCUGCACUCUCCAUAAACAAUUUGAUUAUUUUCAACAUUCUUGGAAGCACAAAUGUUUUUCAAGGCAAGAUUUAGAGUAUGAACCACGCAUGAUGUCCAUAUAAUCGUCGGAAAUUGUGCUUCAAUAAGUUGUCCUAGCCCUUUGCAAUUGGGAGCAUUAUCAGUUAUCACUUGAACAACAUUCUCAUGACCGACUUCAUUAAUCACUUCCUUCAUCAAAUUUGCAAUGAAGUACUUAUCCUUAAUCUCACCUGAGCAAUUGACCGAUUUUAGAAACAUUGACUUACCAUUAGAAAUGACCAUGAAGUUUAUCAAUGACCUUCUUUGUGAGUCACUCCAACCAUCACUUACAAUGGUCACUCACUUUUUUCGCCAUUCACCUUUAAUAGGCAUAAGUAGUCCUUCAAUAUUAGUUUUCUCCCUUUGCAGUAGACUAGUCCUCAACAUAUUAUAUCUUGGAGGCUUGUAUAUGGACAACGGAUUGUUUGCAGCAUAAGUAAAGGCACCGAUAAAAUGGGGGUUCCUUGCCAAAUGAAAUGGCAAGCCCGCAUAAUAAAACAUUUGAGCAAUAAGUGCAUCCAAUUGGUCCCGUGAUGUCUUGUUGAAUGAUUUUUCUAGUGCACUUGUAUUGCCCUUCCUUUUCUUAUUCUCAAUCUCAAAUCUAUUUGAAUUGGUCACAUCCACUCCCCCAGUUGAUAUGGAUGAAGAUGUCAUUGGCAACGGAACAUUUUUUGGAGCUUUUCUUUCCAUUUGAGUUUUUGCCUCAUCCUCUAACCUUUGCAUAUCUGCUAUGUCUUUAGGAGUAACCUUUAGACAUGACCCAAUUCCUUGACCAACUAUCUUCAGCAAGUGAGCUCUCACUCUUGUAUAUGAGCUCUUCUUUAUAACGUGACAAAAAUUGCAUUGCCAUGAAAAAUUUCCACCUCCGUCACUUAACUUCUUAAUCUUAAUCACAUAUUGCCAUAGGGAUUUAGAAUCAUCUUCAACAGUGCUACUGUUAGUUUCCAUGGAACUCGUUACUCCUAACAUUUAAAGAAAAAACAAAUGCAUUUUGAAGUUUGCUAAUGGUGUAUAUAUAAAACUUUGGUUGAUAUUUUAAAAAGAUUAAAACUUUGAAAAGGAUUAAAGCUUUGAAAAAUAUUAAAACUUUUGAAAAAUAUUAAAACUUUCAAAAAUAUUAAAACUUUCAAAAAUAUUAAAACUUUGAAAAAGAUUAAACUUUCAAAAAGAUUAAAACUUUCAAAAAGAUUAAAACUUUCAAAAAGAUUAAAACUUUAGAAGAAAACAAAUUAAAACUAAUAAAAUAUAACUAAAAAAACAUACUUGAUAGUUGGUCGUGGUUUGGUGUAUUAGUUUUGAGUUGCCGGCAAGCAGUAGCGGUGACCAAUUGCAAGAAUAGAAAAAAUAUCCAGCAAACAAUAGCGGUGAGAGGGACUCUUUGGUCGUUGAAGUUGGAUAAAAGUACAACACAGAAGAAAAAAUUAAGAUGAAAGCGGGAGAUGAAGAGUCAAAUAUUCAAGAGGGAAAGCCGAGAGACGUGCACUCCACGUAAGAGAGGAAGAAAACUGAAGAAAAUUUGAUUUACUGUGUCUAAUAAAAUCUUUAUAUUUUAUUUAUUAGAAUUAGUUUAGUUUAGUGGGCUUUGAGUUGGGCUUAAGUUAAUUAUUAUUUAUUAGAAUUAGCUUAGUUUAGUGGGUUGGGCUUUGGGCUUCCCAAAAAGAAAAAUGGAGUGUCCAGACAUGUCUGAACAAUUUAGAAGAAAAAAAGGACACGGAUUUUGGCGUGACGGACACGUGUCCGCAACAUGUCCGGACGAAUCCGUGUCCUCCAAGUGUCCGACACCAAUGCAAGCUCUAAUAUGAAGUGUUCGUGCUUCUUAGGUUCUCAUUGAUUAUUUUCUUGGAAUAAAAAUGAUACUACAUUUAUUGUUUACCACACUCCUUGAAUUCAAGGCAGUUAACAAUACUACAUUUUUUAUGUCAUAUUCUUUUUUUCAUAUAUGGAAACAAGUUUCGUUGAUGUAUGAAAUUAACAAAAAGGACCAAAGGCCUAGCCAAAGGAGUUACAUAGAAGAUCUCCAAUUGGAAGAAAGGGUGUAUGAAUUAAAAGAACAUUUACACCAACUCACACCAUGAAAGAUAAUGAGUUUAAAAAAAGCAAUAAAAAGAGCUUCCCUAACAAGAGAUACUCAAAAGAGCUUCCCUAACAAGAGAUACUCAAGAACACAAAAACAAUUCAAGAACAAUCAAAUAUGAAAAAUAUAUUAAAAUGUACUAUAAUCUCAUAAGAACAAGUAACAAUGUAACCCCAAGCCUUUUGAGAGGGCUAGACUUUCCCAAAUUCCCUCACAAGGAAAUCUCACUACAAAAUUCUUCACCCCUUUCCCUCAACCCAAGUCCUCUAUUUAUAAAUAAAAAUCCCUAACCAACUUACAAUCUAAUUACUAAUAUGUCCCUUCUCCUAAUCCUACUAAUACUCUAUUAAUAAUCCCAUAUAACUAGGAGCCUUACAGGACUGUAGUAAAGAAUGGCUUACAAAUUCCUCUAAUCAAAUGACUCCACAUCAAGAUGUCAAACUAACUCAAGAGAGAAUGAAGUGUUUUAAAAACUAUUUAAGUGAUCUUGCAGUCCUCCCGAUUGUGCAAAAGUGAACAUAGAGCUUAUAACUUUACUAUCAAAUCUGCAGGUUUUGCCAAGUAUGAUUAUAACUCAGAUAUGUUAGCAAUCCUACAAGCUGGUGGGCGGUGUUACCAAUCCUAUAAGUUGUCGAAAAACUCAUGGUGUUUAUGCGUAAAUGCUAUGCUUCAACCAAUUGCUAAGUACUAAGGAAGCCGUUUUCCUCUUCAUGUUGUGAGAGAAUUGGAGCACAUACUCUUUAGUGAUUCUCUCAAGAAGAACAAAAUGACACCCCCAAUCAGCAGAGGAUUUGGUAUACAUCAACUGUAAACGACGUCUUUUGACAAGAAAAGCUUUAGAAUAUUCAAAAGAAGAGGCUAAGUUAUGUGACAUUGCUAGAGAUAUCUUUGAUUCUAUUGAAGAUGUCAGAAAGCUUGAAGUGGAUAAUUUGUCGUUGAUGAAAGCGAGUGAUGUUUUGGAAGAUGAUGGUGGUUAAAGUGAUAAAGACGAUAAUAUUAUGAUAGAAUACUUGACCAUUCGCCUCAAAUCUAGUUUCCUUAGCCAAAAAAAUGAAUUUAAAAACAAAACAAACAAACAACACAAAACAAUUAAAUAUAUAUUUCCUACUUCUACUAAAACCCUAGAGAAAAAGGAUGUGCAGUCCGUAAAAAGAGAACAGAUAAUUAUAACUUUUUAAGGCACUUUUGCUAAACAAUAACCUAGCCUAAUUGGAUCAGAAUCAGAAACCUCAUUAGAGGAAAAUAACCAGAUGAUGGAACCGAGGGAGCCCCAAGGUAUUUUAGUAUUUUACAUUACCCUAAGUUUAUUUCCUUUCAGUAUUAGGACUUGCUAGAGCCUACAAAGUUGUCUUCUUUUUUAACUUUCAUUGUGAGUAAAAAUAAUAAAAGAGACACUCUAUCAUGAUUUUUUCUCCCUGUUCUAGGGUUUUCCACAUAAACCAUGUGUUCUCUUUUCAAUCUUUUAAUAUGGUACCAGAGCGUUGUGAUGAAAUCCUAGCCACCAUUCAUGAAAAAAAACCAACCAAUGCAAGAUAACUUUAAUUCUACACCAGUCUUGCUUUAGCCACAGUUGCUGCUGCCAGCACCAAUUUUUUUCACUACCGUCACUGCCACUGUUGUCCAAGCCAUUGUUGAUUGUUAUCUUCAGUCCUCUCAUAUCCAUCCAAUUCUAGCACCCCCACAACCCUUUGAUGAAAAUCUUGGCCGAAACAUAAACCAUAAAACCGAGCUUAGUGAGUAGUCCGCCUACCACAAAGGUAAUUUCCCUGUCGCGGCAACAAGCUUCUCGUAACAACAGGGUCUUCCUCAUCAUUCGUCGCCUAGUUAUGAACAUCAAGGUUAGAUUGGUUUAUCCCCGAUAAUGGUACAAUAACAGUUAGCUUAUCUUCAGACAAGUUUUCAACAACAAAUCGCUGCUCUUGGGGCAGCCUUAGGUGCUUCCACAAACCCAAAUUCCAGUACUGACAUUCCUUCCAUUUUACCAAUGUAUCCAAAGAAUUCAACAACCUUUUCCCUACUUUAACUACUGCAAACUAUUUCUCUGACUCUGUGGGAAACUCCAUAGGGUUAAUUGUAAGAGAAAAGUUGAAUGGUUAGAAUUUCUCCUGCUUGGUCCAUUAAAAUGGUCAUUGAGGGGCGUCACAUGUUUGGGUAUCUAACUAGUGAGAUUAGACCUAGACCAAAGGAUCCUCAGGAGAGCAUUUGGAAGGAGAAGACUCCCUGCUUCGUUCAUUGUUGAUUAGUAGUAUGGAACCUUAGAUAGGAAAACUGUUGUUUUAUGUUGCUACUACUCGACAUAUCUGAGAUGCAAUUCAGAAAUUAUAUUCUAAAAGAUGCGUCUCAUUUGUACACUCUGCGUAAAUAGGCUCAUGAGUGCAAACACGGACGAUGGAUGUCACUUCAUACUUCAACAAAUUGUCUCUAAUCUGGUUGGAGAAGGAUCUGUGUCGUGAAAUUCUUGGGAUUGUCUCUGUGGAGGUCUCCAGUAUUCCAAGAUUGAGGAAGUCAAUCGCAUUUAUGAUUUCCUAGCUAGUUUAACUCCAAGUCCGAUAUAGUUUGAGGUUGUAUAUUGGGACUGAGGCCUAUUAUUAGAAGUGUAUUCUGAGGUACAUCUAGAGGAGACAAAGUCAGUGCUAUGAACAUCAUGAUUGUAUCUGCUACUGAUUAUGCUGCUUUUAGUGCAAAAUUAUCUAAAACCACAUAUGAAAAAUCAGAAAAAUCAAGGGAUUAUGAUAUCUCUCUUGACAUGCCAAUUGCAUUGAGAAAGGGCACCGGUUCCUACACCAAGUAUCCCAUGUAUCGCUUUCUGUUUUACAGUAAUCUGUCAUCUAAGUUCAAGGUGUUCACUGUUAGCCUUGAUACAGCAAUCAUCCCGAAAAACAUACAUAUGGCUAUGGAAAUUCUUGAGUGGAAGAUUGAUGUCAUGGAAGAAAUGGGAGCUCUUGAAAAGAAUAAUACAUGAGAUUUUGUGCUCUUCCUAAAGGGCAUAAACAGUUGGGUGCAAGUGGGUGUUCACUCUAAAGCAUAAAUUAGAUGGAACUCUAGAAAGGUACAAUGCUAGACUUGUAGCGAAAGGGUUUACUCAAACUUAUGGGAUAGAUUAUUCUUAGACUUUAUUCCCUAUAGCAAUGUAAAUACGAUCUGAGUCAUUCUUUUUGUUGCAGUUAACAAAGACUGACCUCUCCAUCAGCUUGAUGUGAAAAAUGUAUUUUUGAAAGGUGAAUUAGAAGAAGUUUAUAUGAGCCCACCCCCAGGUUUUGAAGCUCAAUUCGAUCAUUAAGUAUGUAAACUUAGGUAGUCUUUAAAUGGUUUGAAACAGUCCUCGAGAACGUGGUUCAACAAGUUUACUACAUUUGUUAAGUCCCAAGGUUUCACUCAAGGACACUUUGAUCAUACGUUGUUUACAAAAAGGUCAGUAUCUAGGAAAGUUGUUCUAAACUUCUAAUUGUGUAUGUACAUGGUAUUGUUUUGUCAGGAGAUGAUACGAUUAAGAUCACCAAGCUGAAAAAGAAAAUGACGAACGAGUUUGAGAUAAAAAUUCUAAGAAAUCUAAAAUAUUUCCAUGGAAUGGAGGUGGCAAAAUCAAGGGAAGGGAUUGAUAGACCUCCGAUACUAUAUCAAUAUAGUAGGAGAAGGAAGAAGGAUAGUGGCACGGCACGUGUGUAGAGUGACACGUGUGAGUUAGGUUAGUAUAAAUAAAGAACAAUUGUUGGGCGGGAAAGUCAAUUAGAAACUUCGAAGGAGUGGAGUUAUGUUCUUCCUGGAGAGAUAGGAUAACAGGAGAGGGUUUACAGCUUUAGUGUGAGAUCGAAUUAGUGUGUGUAACCUAGAUUCAGUUUUGAAUCUAAUAAAAAUAAAAGUAGAAUUCUCUUAGUUUCCGGAUUCCAUCAAAUAACGAAAAUUAGAUCCUCGACUUGUUAAAAGAAACAAGUAUGACUGGAUGUAGACCUGCUACCACUCCUAUUGAAUUCAAUGCGAUGGGAGAUUCUGUUGACAAAGAGAGGUAUUUGUGUCUGGUGGGAAAGAUGAUUUACUUAUCUCACACUAGACCAGAUAUUUCCUAUGUUGUUAGUGUUGUUAAUCAAUUUAUGCAGGCACCCUAGGAAGAGCAUAUGGAAACUGUGAAUCAGGUUCUGAAAUAUUUGAAAAGCUCUCUAGGUAAAGGUCUAAUGUUUAGGAAAACAGACAAAACAUUGAGGCUUAUAACGACUCUGAUUGGGCAGGAUCAGUUAUUGACAUAAAAUAUACCUCUAGAUAUUGUACCUUUGUGUGGGGUAACCUAAUUACUUGGAGAAGUAAGAAACAAAGUGUUGCUAGAACCAGUGCUAAAGCUGAAUACAGAGCUAUGAGUUUGGGAAUCUACGAAGAAAGUUUUGUCAGAUCUUCACCAAGACUAUGUUUUAUCCAUGAAGCUCUAUUUUGAUAAUAAAGUGGCUAUAAGCAUAGCUAAUAAUCCUAUACAACAUGAUAGAACGAAGCAUGUGGAGAUUGACAAACACCUUAUAAAAGAGAAACUAAACAAUGACAAUAUCUGUAUUUCGUAUAUUCCACUCUUCAACAAGUUGCUGACGUUCUCACCAAAGGGUUACUAAGGCCAAGUUUUAACUCAUGUGUUAGCAAGGUGGGUUUGAUUGACAUCUACACCCCAACUCGAGAGGAGUGUUGGAAAUAAGGGACUUUGUUGAUAGAUUAUAGGCCCGAGGGUAUUAUAGUAUUUUACUUUACCCUAAGCUUAUUUUCUUCUUUGUAUUAGGGUUUGCUAGAGCCAACAAAGCUGUCUUCUCGUGUAACUUUCAUUGUGUGUGAAAAUAAUAAAAGAGACUCUUUAUCGUUUUUUCUCCAUGUUCUAAUGUCUUCCACGUAAGCCUUGUGUUUUUCUACUUUUAAACAAAAACCACCGAAGGAGAUAAAUUGCAGAGUAUCACUAUCACUCAAAGCUAAACCUUUUAGUCUAGAAGAAAAGUGAAAUUUGAAGGGAGAAAGUCACUUAAUAGUGAACAAGUCUACAUUCUCAACUUGAUCAACACACCAACAGAGAUAAGUUAGAAGCUUAAAUCAAAUCGCAAGAGAAACUUUUCAAUGAUUCUCAUGAGAGCGCACCAAGGUAAGAAUCAAAUCUCACCAUUGUAACUUAGAGGCAUAUUUCUUGGGUGAUAAAAAACCAAAAGAAACUGUAAGAACAAAGGCCUAAUUGGAAACAUCUCUUGUAUUUCCCGUUGAUUGCAAUCCUUUUGUAUAUCUUUUGUGUAUCCUUUUGAAAUGAGAUAGUUUCCUGUCCAAAAAAGAAGGGUCAGGUCAAUCUCAAUAACUACUUUUCUUUAGAUAUGGAAAUAACACCCAAGUCUCACAGCUAACAUUACUAACCUUUAUUCCAUCAAUUUUACAGGGUUGGCAGUUUCUUGGAUGACAUCGUUGGAUUUAUGUUUGGGUAGAAAUAGAGACUGUUAAUGGCAUCAUUGGAUUUAUGAGGUCUAGGAAAUGGUAAGGUUUAAUGCUUCGACGUGGAGACUGACACCUCAGCCAUUUUGUAGCUUGUAACUGGUAAGUAUGAUUUUCGUUUGAUUUUGUUGCAUGAGAGUCCUUUUCUAUAGUUCUUUGAUUCCUUUUUGUUGGGCUCAUUCUUUUUUGUAUGCUCUUGUAAAUUCUAUCAUUUUUUUUUGCAAUGAAAGUUUGGUUACCCGUCUCUUACCAAAAGAUAAAUAUAUAUUACUAACUUUCACAGGCCCACCCCAAAAAACAUAAAUGCAUCAUGUUCUCGACAGUAUUAUCUCUAGUUUUGAACACAAAUUAUUUAUGGAGAAACUACAACCGCAUGAAAGACAAAAUUGAAAGGAGUAUUCAUAAAUAGAAAGAUAUGGAAGGACUCAAACUAUGAGAAUUAGGGAUAAAGAAUAAUCACAAAAACCCUUGGUUACAGAAACCCAAGCAAACACAUUGAUUCUAGCCAAGACUCUCAAUAGAAUACUCUCCCUAAGACUGUCUCCAGAUCUCUAAAAUCUCCCCUAUUCCUCACAAGCCAGAUGUGCUGUAAAACAUAAAAAACAAGAACCAAAAAGCACACCAAAGGUAUCCUCUUCUUAUAAACAAACACAAAUUGCUAUGAGGCAACUACAGUCUAAAUCCUUAAGGUUGCCCAUGCCCAAGAUUGAGCCUGCCAACUAACAACCACAAAUCAUAUGCUCCAGAUACUCUUAAAACCCUUACAUUAUUAAAAUGUAACAAUAGAAAAGCCAGGACAUGAUCCCCAACCAAGUGUUUUUCCAAACUAUGAUUUGCUAACCCUUACCCACAUUUAGGCCACCAAAGGAUUGAACAGAUAAACUGUUCUAGAGUCAAAGAUCUGGGAGCUUCAACUGCAAGCCCUCUCCAACACCCAAAUGCUCUAUCUAUUACAAUCAAACCCAUACUAAAAAAGUUUUUUUUAGGAGAAAAAACGUUCCAGAAAAACCUGAAAUCCAUUCGACAAUUAGGAGUGUAUUCUUUCUCCUUAAGUUUCCAUGACCAAGGCCAUUUGCCAUUGAACUCCCAUGUCGCUAUAGUUUCAAUCACUAACUAAGAGAUCAUGGGUUCAAUUCACUAUGGUCAACUACCUAGGAAUUAAUUUCCUAUUGUCCCGUGAGAUUAGUCAAGGUGCACAUAAGCGGACCCAGAUACUCUCCGAUAUCAAAAAAAUCUCAUGCCACAAUAAUUGUAACCAAUUAACCACAUGCCCUGCUCCAUCUAUUUCCACCCAUUUUCAAGGGAAAUGUCCAUUUUUCAACAUCUAAGCUAAUCCACAACCUCAUUAGCAAUCAAAUAGAUUGUAGGAUAACAUGGCAGAAACCUUCAACUAAACUUAGACAGAUGUUCAUCCCUUCCAUUUGUUCCUAGAAUAUACGUAUUGCACAUUUGCAAAACGUUAGUGGAACUCUCUUUCUCAUUAAUUCAGUCAUACUUGGUUAUCCAAAUACCAUCAGAAGAGGGAUGAUAGAAAAUUAUAUGAACUCAUAGAACAGAAGGCUUGAAAUCUUUUUCGUCUUAUAGCUAAAAAAAAAAUUGAGUAGAAAAAGGGAUUUCAGAAAGAGAUGACUGUAAUUUUAAUGAAAUUGAAAUGAAUUGUAAAAUAGAAUGUAGAAUAAAGAACAUUAGUAACAAGCAAGAGAAUAAAUAACUUGUGAAGUGGCAAACCCACCAUUUCAAUGAAAAUUUUUGAAAAAACGUGCAAUGACCAAACCAUAUUUACCGAAUAAUAAGAAGUUCAUGCCUACAGAUCAAUUCACGUUUUAACUACCAAACUCGACUCAUGGAGUCAAGCGUGGUAUUUCGGAAUUCCAUGUAGCUUAGCCUCCCCCCUCCCCCCUCUCCACUAAAAUUUUAUUAUCUUUCGUGUAUUUGUGCUACAAAUCCAAGCUUACUGAACCAAUGAUUAUAAGUUUGGCAGUUAAACAUCUUACUCUUUUGACGCUUAGUAACCAAAAACGAAAACCCACUUGGAUACAAAAUAACAAGUGGCCAUGGCAUUAACUCGUACACGGCUUAAACUCAUAAACAAACCAAUAUAUAUACAUAUUACAUUAGAGAAUAACCAAGUAAACCCGUAAAAUUCAUACUAACCAAGACGGCUUUAUGAGCGGGAAGAGGCACGGCGUAUCCCUCAGGUCCAUCGCUUGAGGCGAUCAAAACGACAUCCGUAAAGCAUGGAGUAUUCGACCUGUUAUGAAGAUGAUCAAGAGGGGACCAAAACCUGAGGAAAGCGACCUUAGCUUUCAAGUCUUCGAUCUCACGCUUGAGCUCUUCCUCAGUCUCAUUAGCUUCAUGAUAGCACUCCUUGCAGGUUCCGGCCUCGCCUGAUGGGUAUUCCUCCAGACACGACAAGCACUUCAUCAAUUCUUGAUCGGACUCGCUUUCCGUGUCCGAAAUGACUCUCGACGACAAACACCGGCGGCGCUGCAUCGGAAAAUUUGCCGUCGGCGCGGGGACUCUGUGAAAAUUCCCUAGUCGUUGCUUUGAUCGAACGGAAACUGUCCGAAAGAAAAAUGGGGAUUUGACGAAGGAUUAGCCUCUAGAGAUCAAUCAAUUUCUGUUUUAAAGAACAAAAUAAUGUUUUCUUUUUUCGAAGUGGAAUUGGUGAGAAGCCAAAUUGGGGGAAGGACCUCCAAGUACACUCUAUUUUGGCGUAUUACUUAUUAGGGUAAUUUUAAAAAGCUGCUUUCAAAUUUGAUUUUUUUUAAAAACAAAAAACAAAACUCAAAUUAUUUCAAUUUUUGGCCCAUAGAAAAAGCAUUUGAUGCCUAGCUCAAAAAGAAAAUUAUAAAAUCAAUAAGAAAUUGGGAGUCAUAGGAAACCGUAAUGGUAUGUAUAUUUACAUCCGAUUUGAUUUAGGAAACCGUAAUGGUAUAUUUCCAUCGGAUUUGAUUUAGGGUUUAUAAUAUUUGUAAACAAGAAUUAGGAUAUGAGUUAGGUUAUCUCUCCAAAGAAAUGGGCUAUGAAGUACGACGUGUCAAAUGGAAAAAAUUGGUAUAGUUCUCAUUCUUGAGCGAGGUUGAGGAGGUUAGUUUGUGCUUUUGAUCCAAACACCGUUUUUUUAAGGCUUAUAGGGGUGUUUGGCCCAUGGAUUUGGAAUUAGGGUGUUUAUCCAUUGGGAUUAAAGUUCCAAAUUCAUGAGUUUGAAAUAUGUUUUUUUAAAAAGAAAUUAUUAUCGAAUGACAUAUGUUUUAGAAAUUUUUUUCACUUCAACAUCUUAUCAAUGAUCAUUGCCAACAAUUGUUAGCCAACUUCACAAUCAAUUGAUCGACGGUCACAAGAACCGAUCGUCUUAAUCGUUGCUCCGGAUCAUCUUGAUCGUCAGCUUGGAAUCGUCUUGAUCAUCGAUUAUCAAUCGUCUUGAUCGCUUGUAACCUACAACUUUGGACGUUACUAUCAUGGGUGAACAUCUUGAUCGACAACAAGCAAUCGUUAUCGUUAACUAUCGAUCUCAUGCCUAUUAACAAGCGAUUAUAGUGAUGGUCGAUGAUCAACAGCCAUAACCAUUCACGACUGAUUGUCAUGAUGAUUGACGAUCAAUCAAUUUUCUUAAAAUUAGCGACCGUUGAUCGUCUUCACCAUUGAUCGAUGAUUGUCUUACUCUUUCCCAUGAGAUUGAAUAGUGAACAUUAUUCAAGCCAAUGAAUUACAUUCUCUUUUUCUAAUUCAAUCUAGAAAAUUCAUUGACCAACUUCAAACACCACCCCUAGUGACCAUUGUCAAUCGACCAUUAGGUGUCAUUUCUGACAAUUCCAUUGACGAACUUCCAACCACCAACUUUUGCAACUGCUUCAAAUCUUUAAAAAUUAAUAAAAAUGUAUUUCUGAAUAAUUUUUUUUUUGACUCAUUUCUUUGAUUUAAUCAUAGUAAUAUUUUUUAAAAUACACAUUUUUUAAUUCUUCUAUUUUCUUUUCUUCGGCACCUUUUUUUAUAAGUAUUAUUUUUAGUUGUGAUGCGAUUCAAUUUUUAGAAUUCGAUCAUCUGAUUCUCUCUCGACUCAAUGCAGUCUUAUAGCUUUUGGGAUAAUUCUCUCUAAACCUAGGAGAACUAUUGUAUUUAUAGAGUUAACUGAUGAGUUUUAUGGGCUUCAGCCUGGUUGGUCCAUGGACCAGACCCAUUAACCACAUGUAUUUAGAUUAUAUUUAGUUUUAGGCUCGAUUAAGCUUAUUUGUUGCCUUAAUUAAACUUAGUCCAACUAAAUAAUAUUUAAUUGAACCAAAAUGAUUAAUUUAAUCCAACGGUUAAGAUGAAAACAUGUGACAUUAUUAGAAUUAACGUUUUCAAUUUUUUAAUUUGGGGCACAUAUCAAUUUUAAUUAGUCCUGAAUUUAAUUAUUUGCACUUUUCAUUAUUAAUUUAAUAAAUGAUGUGGUAAUUUGUGAUUGGUCUCAAAAUUUAUUAUUCUAACAUAUAUAUUUUCUCUUAUUUGUUUAAAAUUAAAUUUUACUUCAUUUUAGAAGAUUUUAUUUAUUUUGUUAUAUUUUUCUAAGGUGAAAAUUAAUGACAUAUAUGUCGUCAUCUCUAGUAUAAACAAAUAUUAAUAUAUUGAUAAUGAAAUGGAAAUUGCAACUAUGUAUCAUAUAUAUAUAUAUAUACACCAUGGUUUAUUUUUAGUCAAUUUAAUCGGAAGACGAAAGACUUAUUUAGAUUGACUUAAAAAAGGUGUUUUAAAUAAAAACUCAUUUUUACUUUUAUUUAGACAUAUUUUGAUAAAAGUGGUUUAAAAUACAUUGCAUGUGUGUUACACGAAAACAACCAUAACUAUAACUAUGUGUAACUCAAUUUUGCUUUUGCAUUACCUUUUUAGUUAUGCUUAUUUUGAAACCUAUUAGACCAUUUUUAAUAUUGCUUAACUAGAACUUUCGUAAACUCUAUCUGAUUACAUGAUUUGUCAUAUUUUGUGUAUGGUGUGUAAUAUUCCUACUUAGACCAUUAAUAUUAAUGAAAUUGUAAUCAAAAUUAUUGUUAUUAAUAAAUAAAUAAAUAACUAGACAAAUUAGUUAAACCCAAGAAUUCAAAAGCAACACCGCAAAUACAACAUCAGAAAUCCAAAUUUUCAAAUCAUGCACCCGAAACACAAGCAUUUGCAAUUCUCAUGCAUCAUAACCCCAUCAAAUGAGCCCACAUGCAUUCGAUUAUGAACUUGCUACUGAGAUUUAUGUCCUAAAACUCGUAGAUUGUAAAUAUAAUCCAUUGACCGUUAUUAAUAAAGUGUUAUUAUUGUAAUAAUUAUUAUUGAAUAAAUUAUUAGUUUUGUCUUAAUAACCCAAAUCCAAUAAACUAACAUCCUAAGUUGUUUAAUGAGUCUUGAACAGUAUGUGGAGACAUAUAGGGAUCGGUGUUCAAAAUCAGCUUAAAGGGUCUAUAGUAUAGGGAUAAGACUGAGUACCUUAUCCUGGUAACACUAUUGAUACGGUUUACUUUGUAUUUGAUAAAAACGCAAUGAUCCAAUGCGUUCGUGUAGUUGACAUGCGAGUGAGGGUAUCCUAUGCAAUGAGUUUGCAUAAGAUCGGACCGCGAAUUAGUAACCACUAGAUGUAACUCCGUUAACUAGUUAGGUUUCUAUUUCACUAGGAUGACUUAGGUAACUUAGUCUUAAUCCUAAAUGUGUUAUGAACUUCUGUUAGUGAGAGAUUGUCCUUUGAUUUGUACGGGUGAGAGUGACCAGACCACCGACUUAAUAAGCUUAUCAUUUUGGGGACAAGACCGAGUGGAGAGCUGGAAACAUAAUUACACAAGAUGGAAUUCACUUCUUCCUCUACUUUAUGGUAAGUAGAUGAGUGUUCCCUUAAAUGGUGUCUCCAGGUCUUGAACAAAGGGUCUUAACCUUUCCAUGGCACGAGAGGGGUUUCUGUUUAUUGGUAGGACCAUAAACAGGUUGUUCAUUAGAUGAGCACUUAUAUUUAAGGAUUAGAGGUAACCCACGGGUAAAAUGGUAAAUUGACUCAACUGGUGUUACAAACACUUGAAGGACUAACUUACUGUUAUUAAUAUAUAUCCGUGGACACAGAAAUAUAUCUACAGUGAGAAGAGUUCAGUUGUGAGUCUUUAGUGGAGUGUACACACAGUUAACGAAUAUUGAUUAAUGUGGUUAAUGAGUUUAGCCAAUUAAUCUCAAAUCGUUGUAGCUUCUAAUUUGUAGGUCUAUUAGGUCCCCUUCCUAGCUCGUAAAGGGUAAUGAAAUUUAUUUAUAUUGGUUGUAAUUUGAAAUGUUCAAAUAUACUUAGGGAAUUUGUUUAAUAUAUAGUGAUACAUUAUAAUAUAAAGUUUGUGAAACUUUAUUAUAAAUUUAAUUUUGGAUAUGAUUCAAAACUAAUUUAUGAGAGAUAAAAUAUUUGAAUAAGUUCAAAUAUUAAUGUGAAUUAAAUUCAUAUUAAACUUAUUGGUUACGAGAGAAACUUAUAUUUGAAUAUGAUUCAAAUUUAAUUGAAGUUAAUUAAAUAUGAUUAAUAAUUAAUUAAUAAUUUAGUUUUAUUUAAUUAAAUUCAUAAAAUGAUAUUGCAGAUAUAUUAAUUAAAUAUGAUUUAGUUAAUUAUAUUAAUAUAAAUGUAUAAGAUAUCGGACAGAUAAUUAUUCAAAUAAGAUUUGAAUGAAAUAUUAAUUAAAUAUAAUUUAAUUAAUUAUUAACUAAUUGAUUAAUUGUUAAUUAAUUAGUAGAUUUGAUAUUAAAAAUCUCAUAAUUAUUUCCUACUCCUUUUCCUAUUCCAAGAAGGAAAUAGAGCUAUAAAUAUCUAGAAGAAAACAGUUUUCUUCAACGAAAUUCAUUAAGAAAAAAACAAAAGCUUUUUCUCUAUGCAAAAAGAGUUUCUCACAAAUAUCUUUUAAGUCUUUUCUCAUCCCAAUUGCUUCCCACAAACCAAUCUCAUCCUCAUCCCAGAGGAUAGGAAAGUCUCCGAUGGUUCUCGUAUCUUAUCUUUAAAAAACAUGCUUAGAAUCUAUUUAUAAUUUUGAUUCUAAAAUUUUGCCAAUGUAGUGGUAUUUUUAAAAAGUUUCAUUUAAGAAAUCUAGUAUUUAAUUAAAGGCCAUUUUUCUUCUUUAGAAAACCGAUCAAAACUAAACUUUAACAUUCUCAAAUUUACUUUCAAAUACAUAAAAUUUAACAUUCUUACCAUUAUUUUCUUUUUUAUUAGUUGUUAGGAUAGAAAACAUUUAUCUUUUAAUAAAUAAUACUUUAUACAAUAAACUUAAAGACAUUUUUAAAAAUAGAAAAAUAAAAUAAAAUAUUUAUGAACGGUAGUAAAAUUUUGGAUUCUAUUACAUCAUGGACUGUAUUUAGUAUUAGGAUACACUUUCCUUCAAUUACUUUGAUUCUGGUGAAAUAGAAUAAAGCCGCGCCGGUAGUGUUGAAACUGAGAGUAGUAAGUAUUAAAUAAAAGAAAGGAAGAAGAUACAUAGCUUCCGGAAAAGAGAAGGGAAAUAUUGGUUAUUAACAAAUAAUAGUUCCAUAUGUGAAAGUUUGAGAGUAGACACCAAAACAACACAGUUUAUCGUUUUUCAUCCUCAAGAUUGGGAUACGAUCUCUCAAAUUAAAUCUCAAUUCAUCGAAUAUGCGUCUAUGGCCGGUGUAGCGCCAUAACAUCCAAACAAAUCCAUCAACAGUGGCCGCUCAGCCAUAUCUGAUCUUCGCCAUGGAUUUACCUCAAUUUCUUUACCAUCAACGGGAUCAAUCCAGGUACAUCUCUCCUCCUCCUCCUCCUCCUCCUCCCUCGGCCUCUCUUCCUCCUCACCCUUUUUUCCCCGAAGAUCCCAGUUUCCCCUUCCCUCCCAAUCACCACCACCUUCUUCAUAAUCAUCCCGAUCAACCCCUUGAUUUCCCACUCCCCCCACCGCCGCCGUCGUCCUACCGUCAUCAUCCCAUUCAUCCACCCCCAUCACCCCAACCUCCCCUUGCUUAUAAUCCCUCUCAACCCCAUUUUGUUGUUGACAACCAUCUUCCAAUUAACGACGACCCAUUCCGAUCUCCGCCCCGUCGUCGUGAAUUUCAGCGUUCCCCUCCGCUUUCCGGUCGGAUCUCUUUCGACGGAGGCUUUCAUCGUGAUUUUGUUGAUCUCAACCAUCCGUAUCAUGACAGUCGGUUUGAUGUUUCGGAUCCAUCCAGAGUCACGGUGGAUAAUCGACCACCAUUACCGCAUUCUCCUAUUGAUUUUGAACAUGGAAUGGGUCACCGAGAAAUUGAUCACAGAUCUGGCAUCCCGUAUCCGCCACCCGAUAUGUUUAGGUAUAAUUCAGGUAAUUGUUCUAGGCGGGGAGCGGAUUACGAUGAUAGUUAUCAGCCAAAUCCAAGAGAAGAGGUGCUACGUGGACGCGGCGAGGAGAACUAUUGUCACCAUGAUCACCAUAAAGAAGAUUCCAAUAUUUCCUUUAUGGAAUGUGGAGCCUCGCGGAGUCCAUUGUCUAGAGAUAAAUUUACUUCAGGAAGUUUUGAUAAACACCGGUAUGGCUCGAAUUAUGAAAAGGAAUCUUUUAGGAGUCGUAGGAAUGGUAAUGUGGUGGGGAAAAAUCAGAGAUGGGUUCAUAGCAAACAGACCUUUAGGAACAUGCACAAUUCGUACUUAGAUGGAAGUAAUGAUAGACAUGGUGACCGUACUGAUUUUCGAAAUAUAUCUGGAAAGCACGGGCAUUCUAAUGCAGAAUUAGGGAAAUAUUACUAUGACAAUAAGGGUGGUAUGGAAGGUUAUAAUGAGUACACAUCCACUCCUCGGAAGCAAGUACAGAAAAAGAGUGCUUUUCUUAGAAUUCAAAUGGCAAAUCCUUGUCACAGUAACAGAGAGAGUGAGCAAUUACGUGAUUCUGAAUAUUUUGAUGAGAAGAGCAGUUUCCUCAGAGGCAAAAGUCAGGUUAGAUCUCUAUGUUACAGAAUGGAUUCAGGGAAGAAGAGAGAGGGAAGUCCCAUGGAGCUUGAUGUUUCUUUUAAAUCCAAUUCGUUGGUGGCCAAGGCAAUUGUGGCACCAACACAGUCUACUCCUAUUUCAGAUGUGGAAACAAGGCAUGUAAAUGAGAAAACUGACUCUACUAACUCACAUUUAACUGGACAGAACAAGGUUGAUUCUGGGGCAAAUGAUGUUACAAAUCUUGUCACUUGUCCCCCAGACAUUAAAAAUGAGCUGAAGGAUUUAGAAGAGAAGGCUACAGGUCCGUUGGUUGGUAAUGGAUCUAAUAAUUUGACUGAUGCUUCUUCAGUUAAGGGCAGUUAUUCACUUAGAAAAACAAACGUUGAGAGGCCUUCACAAGGAAAGGUGUCAGAUGUAGAAGGGAAGAAUGUUUCAGGAAAAGCAGCUAUGGUAAGGACCAUGAAGAAGAAAAAAGUUGUGAGGAAAGUGGUAAAGAAGGUAGCAAGUUCCCAACUGGGUUUACAGACUAGAAAAGGUGCUGAUGAUCCACCAGUUAAAGUAGGCAGUUUGACAAAUAUUCCCCCAGAUGUUACUGGGUCUGGUAAGGAUUUAGAAGUUUCAGAAAACAAGAUCUCCACAUCUGGAAAGAACUCAGACCGUGGUUUUGUAUCGAAGGCUUUUCAGCCUGAUAUGUCAGGAUCACUAGAUAAUAGAAAAGGGGAUCAAUCUGUCCUCCCUGUAGCAUCAAAAAAAUGUCAAGCCAAUACAGUCAUGGGAAUGGAAUGUGUACCUGCAGAUAAGAGUAAUAAAAAUAGGUUAGGAUCUCCAUUGAAUUCGUUGACAAAAGAGGGAAGGGGAACUAGUGAUCAUCUUGAGACAAACAGUUCUUUCAUUGCCAUACCACCUCUUUUAAAUUCUAGUAAGAAUCUUCUAUUACAAAAUGGACAUAACAAGCUUGAUUUUGGAAUCAGUAAGGGGAUUGAAGAUUCAUCGUUUGAAAAUGUAUCAGGGUCUAAAACUACAAUGGUUUUUCUGGGAGGCAGUCAGUCUGGAUCAUUGAGUCCUAAUGAUCCUAAUCUACUUGAUGAUCUUGUAAAUGAAAAUAAUUUGACUGUUAGGAUAGAUACUCCCAUGGAUUUUGACAAUGGAGUAACUCAGUUUGAAGAUAAUACUCCACUUUCUGAAACUUUUGAUGUUGAUGGAAUUUGCAAGCGGCUUUAUACAAAUAAGGUGACUAGACCACUUGAGACUGAUGUCGUAGGGGUAUCUGCAGGAAAAGUUACAAUUAAAAAUCCUUUGGUGGGUGUAAAUCCAGAAGCAUCUGAGAUACAGGUUGAUUCCUUAAAUUUGGAAGUUGAUAACAGUGACCAACAUAUUAAACGGAAUUCAAAUGAUUGUCAUCAGUGUACUAAUAUACUAGGGGGUGAGGUUUUUAACUGUGAGAGAGUUGGUAUUUCGAGAGUACAGGAAUGUGUGGGUAGUAGUUCUGUUUCAUUAGGUUUUAGUUUAGAAGAAUGUUCUUCCAAAGUUAAGGAUCCAACACUAAGUGGAGAAGGUGAGAAAUUGUUGUCUAAGGUGAGUGAACUGGAUUUUGCAGGUCCCAAUGACAUCGAUCAAGAGAUUAAUUCUGAGAAUUUAUGUGAAAGUUUCAAUUCUGAAGGUCAUUGGCCUUCAGAGCAGGAUAUUUCAGGUCUUGGAAGUAAGUUGAUGUGGGAAAAUCCUACCACCUUUGGAGAGGGUGCAAAUCUUGAUUACACUUCAUUAGGUAAGUUGCCAAAAAAUAAAUUAUUGAUGGGGUUUGACGUUGAUAAUACAGGAACUGAGGUAUCAUUAAAGACUCGAAAAAAACAAAAAAUAUGCAUUGAUAGUCCUGUUUUGUCUUGUCCCAGUGGUGAAAUUAAUGAUGGGGCUGCAAUUACAUUCAUUUCUAGUUUAAGUGAUCAGCUAAACUCUAAUGGUGAAUUAAUGGAAGGAAAGAAGGUUGCAGUAUCCACUGUGGAUGCUUUUUUCACAGCUAGUACUGUUUCUACAGAUUGUUUAAAGGGGAUGAGCAUGGUUCUCGAUGAUAUACCGACAAAAGAAACUGCCAUAGAGGUCAAUAUAGAAAGAAACCCCCUAGAGUGUCUCUUGAAAUAUGAGCAGCUGGAAAAAAACCCUUGUUCAAUCCAGGUCUCAACUGUUUCAAAGUGUCAGUCACUUUCUCCCUCACUGGGAUAUGAACAAGGAGUGACUGGUGCUACCUUAAUGGCAACAAAUCAAAGUGAUGAUAUGGAUGUAGUCACUGACAGAAGAAAAGAACUAAACAUUCAUGCUGCCGAAGGACAAUCUACAAUUUGUAAUAAGACUGAACAGUGGGACAGUCCUUCAGAAGUUCCAUCCUCUCAAACCUUAGAUCGUCCAAAUCCUGAAUCAGUCAAAUCAUCUAGUAAUGUUGGCCAGGAUAAUUUGCAUCAUAUUGAAAUCUCUUUUGAUGAGAAGGGAUACCCUGCUGCCAAUUCUGACAGGGAAAUUAAGGGCAGCAUGUUUGAUACACGAGGUCAUUUGGGUUCUUCAGAAGCAUCUAAUGUUCCAGAGAUGCAUAAAUUAAGUUGUGAAGCAUCAUUCAGCCAUACUGAUUCCAAAAUGGAUUGUGCAGAUGAUGAAAAAGUGAAGAAGAAAUCUAAUGUUGAAAAUGAAUUAAAGGCAUCCACUGACACUCCGUUUUCACAGCCUUUGGCUGUUCAUAGAAAAUUAGGUUGUACCAAUUCUGUAAAUAUUUUGUCCACCGGCAAUAUAUUACCACAGGCUUUGGAAGCAUUAAAAAAUGGACUUCAAGCUGACAAUAAUUCUUCCAACUCAUGCAAAAAAGAACAGAAAAUGAGUUAUUACAAAUCUCAGGCUUUUCCUGCUAAAUCCUUUUCCACAUACCCUGCUUCAAAAAAUUUAACAUCUGCAGCCUAUAGUAAAAAACCCAGAAGUUGGCAUCGAAAUGUAAAUUCUCCGUCUCCGGCUCUUGGAAAUAAGCCUUCUUUGAGCUCUAUUCCUCCCCAAGGGCAGUUACAUGGAGGAGGUGGAAUGCUUCAGAGUACUUCAUACAUUCGUAAAGGUAACAGCCUAGUUCGAAAGCCUUCUCCAGUUGGUGCACGAGUUUUGGGCUCUCAUGAUUUGAGUUCAAGCUCAUUAGAUCAACAUGAUUGCUGGCCUGGCGUAAAGUCUAACAACAAGGUUGAGGUCACUAACUCUUGUUUCCAUUCUAAAGCAAGGGGAACUGAUGCUAAUGUUUAUAAGACCUAUCCUCCCCGACUAUCUAGUGGGUCUGAGUCGCCCAAUUAUUCUGUUCCUGUGGGAGAUUGUGCCCCAUCUCCUUGCCAUGAAACUGAAUCAAAUCUCAUGAAGUCUAAACAUGUUAGUGAUUUGUCAAAGUCGGUUGGGGAUUCACUGAAGAUUUUGCCAGCUCCUAAAAGUCAGGUUGUUACAGCUGAUAAGAAAGAAAAUCUGGCUGAAAUGAAAAACACAAAUUCUGUUUCUUUAGUUUUAAAAAAGAUGGUGUAUGUGAAGCGCAAGUCAAAUCAGUUGGUUGCAACUUCAAAUCCCUGUGAUUUAUCAACUAAAAACAGCGAGACGACUUGUUCCUUGGGCUCUGAUGGUUAUUACAAGAGGAAAAAGAAUCAGCUAAUCAGGGCCCCAUCAGAAUGUCAGACGAAGCAGACUUUACUGCCCACUGAAGAUAUUUCAAAGCCAGGAGCCCAAAGCUCUUAUGGAGAUGGAGACGCUAGAAAUUUUAAUAAGAGGCGACAAUUUAAAGGUAUUAUAGCUAAAUAAGAGCUUUAUUGCGUUGCCCUGGAAAUGUUUCCAUUGGAACAGUAUAUUAUGAACAAUUUCAUUUAGAUUCUAAAUUUUUAAUAUUUUAUUUCACUGUCCUGUAAUGAAUACCAUGAGCAUACAUCAUAGAGGAGGCAGUUUUACAGGACUUUCGCAUUUUUUUAUCCCUUGUGUCUGCCUCCAGGGACACACUUUUUAGUGCUUGCAGUACUGUGUAUCUUUCUCUACACUGUUCAAUCUCUUAAUCCGAUUAAUUAUAUAGUUAAUUAGCAAUAGCUUUAGCCUUAAGUACCGGAUAUUGUUAAAUUUUCCUGUCCUUCGAUAGAAGGUUUGUAAGUUUCUCCUUUUCCAUUUCACUCAUUGGGAAUUUUUAUAUUUGAACGUGUAGCACUUUUUUGUUUUGGGGUGAAAAAAAGAACAUAUUUAUGGCGUUCCUUUCUUUUAUUGGUUAGAAAAUAAACUGUUGAUUCAUGUAUCUAGGUGUUAAAAAUCGAAUAAUCACAAUGGAUACUUUUCUGGAUUUUUAGCUUUUACAUAAUGGGUCUGAAAACGUUUGAGAUCUAGUUUUUUUUUUCACGUAUUUCCUUUUCCAUUGUUGUUGUAUACUCUCUGAGUUCACCUCCAUAAUAAAAAAAAAUUAUGAUAAUGAUAGGAGAUAUCUUAAAUUUUUGUCUUUCAUUUACGAGAUCUGUAUUAAAUCAUUGCUGACUUUUGUUCUUACAAGUCAUUCAAUUGAUUUGUCUUGUUUGGUGUUUCAUCCCAAAUAUGUUUUGUAUCUCUAAUAACCAUUGUUUCUUUCUAUCUUUAAUUUUCUUCUGUGCAUUUGGGGUAGGUGAGGACCUAGUCGUCUUGGCACUCAUCAUUGCUUUAGGAUGAAAUGUAGUCAAUAAUAAAACUGAAUAUGGAUUUUCUUUACAGCUUUAUUGGAAACACAUGGGCCGUCAAAAUCCUCUUUGGUAUGGACACUUUGCAGUUCAGUUGCUGCAGGAAAUGGUGCUGGUAAUUUGCAGAAUCACAAGAUGGCUCCUCGACUUUUUCCUUGGAAAAGAACAUAUUGGAAGAUGUUCAAACUAAAUGCUUCUACUCAGAGAAACAGUUCGACUAUAGUCAGGUAUGUUGUGCUUGAACUAUUUCUAAUCUUAUUCGUGCUUGUUUCAUUUUUCAACAUAAGGGGGCUGUUAGGUUCAACAAGUGGUAAUUCCAGCGUUUUUUUUCCACCAGAAAAUUGUUGCUAUUGAGGAACAGGAACACAGUUUAUAAAAGAUCAAAACAUGGAUUUUCACUUCGAAAAUCCAAGGUACUAAGUGUUGGCAGAUCUAGUUUAAAGUGGUCAAAAUCCAUUGAAAAGCACUCAAAGAAAGCUAACGAGGUUUGUUGGAAGUUGGUUAAUAAUAUAUUCAUAGGCUGCAAUUUUUUCUUCCUUUUAGUCUCCUACUGUUUUAUUCUUUCUUACGGGCACUGGUAGAGGCAAGAAUGACCUUUGACCUUUUUGUUUAUAACAUUUUUUUUAGAAAAUAGUUUGUUUUUCUUCUUUAAUAUAGGAAGCUACAAGGGCAGUUGCUGAUGCAGAUAGGAAGAAAAGAGAACGUAACUGGGAUCCAUCUGUUUCCUCUGACACUCUGGGUGGAAGUCAAUUUUCUUGUAAGUCUGUUGGAUACAAUUUCUAUGAGAUUGUGUUUUAAUUUUUCUAGCAUGCCAAAUGAUCUGUAUUUCCUUUAAUGAAGUGAUGGGGUUUGAAAAAACAAGAACAUUUUAAAAUUAUAUUCAUGAUGAUGAAAUAAGAUAGUUUGUUGUCAAGACAGUUAGAUAGACUGAUUAGUUAUACCCCAAACUAAUCAGCUGUUAUAUUUUGUUGUUAGUUGAAACUAAUCAGCUGUUUAAAACUGAUUAGUUAUACCCCAAACUACCAAAACUGAUUGUAACUACCACAUACAAUUCAUCAAUAAAUAGCCAUUCUCCAGCUGAGAAUAGGCAGAGAAUUCAUUUGAGAAAUUAGUUCUACCUUGAUUUACAUCAAGUGGUAUCAGAGCAGCCCCGAUCCUCGGACGGAUGGCUGGCCGGAGAGUAGGAAUCCCUGCCGCAGGGAAUAACUGCGAGCAAGAAGAGGUGGAGGAGAUCGCCACCUUCUCUCCAAGGACAUCCACGGUACGCUUGCUGGCCGUCGAAGACUCCUUGGGAGAUUUACACAAUAAGAUGAAUAGAGUAAUGGACAGCUUGGACUCUCUAACUUUGAAUGGACAGACUACCGGCACCGACAAGGAUCGAAGACUAUGACUGAAACGCAGGAAAUAGAGGAGGCCGGUGAGCUCGAAGGAACUUCAGAAACUGGCCUAAUCAAAGAAGGAGACCGAUGGACAUUCCGCUACGGCAUGCCGACGAAGACAACCAAGAAGACGACGAAGACUAGCAGAAUGCGCAAGAUUAUGACUCUUCCAAUGGUGACGAACAAGGAAAUAUUUGUAACGACAAUGGAGAGUUUUGAAUGGCUCAAGGCUACAAAGGAUAGGAGGCACAAAGGGAAGUCCAUCACGACUACAAGAUGAAGAUUGACCUCCCGACCUAUAACGGUAAACGAGACAUUGAAUCCUUCUUGGAUUGGAUUAAAAAUACCGAGAAGUUCUUCAAUUAUAUGGACACUCUGGAUAAAAAGAAAGUACACUUGGUGGCCCUGAAAUUGAAAGGAGCCUCUGCAUGGUGGGACCAACCAGAGAUAAAUAGACAAAGAUUUGGCAAACCACCUAUACAAUCAUGGGAGAAAAUGAAGGAACUUUUGAAGGCGCGUUUCCUAUCCUCGAACUACGAGCAAACGUUGUACAACCAGUACUAGAAUUGCCACCAAGGGAGCCGAACCAUAGCUGAGUACAUUGAAGAAUUCCACAGACUAAGCGCAAGAACCAAUCUGAGUGAGAAUGAGCAGCAUUAGAUUGCAAGGUUCGUUGGUGGGCUAUGAUUCGAUAUCAAGGAAAAGGUGAAGCUGCAGCCCUUUCGUUUCCUGUCGGAAGCCAUUUCCCUCGCAGAGACUGUAGAGGAAAUGAUGACGGUACGCCUGAAGAGUUCCAAUAGGAGGGGCACAUAGGAAACAAAUAUCUCCAAAAGACAAUCUUACAGCAGGAAGACAGAUGAACAACCGGCAACACCAGCUGCAGAGAAGAGUAAGGAAGUUGAUGCCCAAGAGACAAACAAAAAGAAAGUCGAAGCAAUUAAGGAAAAGAGCCAAAACAACUACGCUCGCCCAUCCUUGGGGAGCUUUCGGUGUGGUGAGCCCGACCACUUAUCCAACAACUGCUCCCAAAGGAGGACCAUAGCGUUAGUAGAGGAGGAAGGCAAUGGUACGACUGAAGAAGAAAGAGAAGAAGAAGAAGAGACAUAGCUGAUUGAAGCGGACGAUGGAGAACGGAUCUCUUGUGUUAUUCAAAGAGUUCUCAUUGCCCCCAAAGAGGAAACGGCCCCCAGCGCCGCAGCCUAUUCAAGACGAGAUGCACCAUCAACGGCAAGGUGUGUGAUAUCAUAAUUGAUAGUGGGAGCAGUAAGAACUUUGUAGCAGGAAAGAUCAUGGCCGUCCUUGUCCUAAAGACAGAUCCUCACCCUGAUCCUUAUAAAAUAGGAUGGGUGAAGAAGGGAGGACAAACCAUGAUUAACGAAAUUUGCACAUUACCCCUUUCCAUCAAAAGUAACUACAAAGACCAGAUUGUGUGAUGUGAUAGAAAUGGACGUGUGCCAUUUACUCCUAGGCAGACCGUGGCAACAUGACACUCGAACCCUACAUAGGGGGAGAGAAAAUACCAAUGAGUUCCAGUGGAUAUGGACGUGUGCCAUUUACUCCUAGGCAGACCGUGGCAACAUGACACUCGAACCCUACAUAGGGGGAGAGAAAAUACCAAUGAGUUCCAGUGGAUGGAAAGCAAAGUAAUUCUACUCCCAUUAACAAAGAAAAAUACUGAAGGCCUAAGACAGAAGAAAAAAGGCCAGCUGUUCAUCACAGUAGGAGAGAAGAAGAUGUUGAGAGAAAGGGAGCAAGAUCUAUUGGGGCUUGUAGUGGCUGACAAACCCCAGGAGAAAGAAUGUGAGAUUACCGACCCUAGAUUGGAGAGCUUGUUCGCGGAGUUCCCCCACCUGAAGAACGAGCCACAAGGUCUACCACCGAUUCGUGACAUCCAGCAUCAGAUUGACCUCAUCCUAGGAGCAUCACUUCCUAACUUAGCACACUACAGGAUGAGCCCAGAAGAGUAUAAAAUCCUGCAUGAUCACAUAGAAGACUUGCUGAGAAAGGGUCAUAUCAAGCCAAGCCUUAGCUCAUGCGCCGUGCCUGCACUACUCACACCUAAGAAGGAUGGAAGCUGGAGAAUGUGUGUAGACAGCAGAGCUAUCAACCGAAUUACUGUGAGGUAUCGGUUCCCCAUUCCUCGAAUUGGAGACCUGCUGGAUCAGCUAGGCAAGGCUGCUAUCUUUUCAAAGAUUGAUCUAAAAAGCGGCUAUCACCAAAUAAGGAUCAGACCAGGGGACGAAUGGAAGACAACCUUCAAGACAAAUGAAGGCUGUUCGAAUGGUUGGUUAUGCCUUUUGGCUUAUCCAACGCACCUAACACCUUUAUGAGGUUGAUGAAUCUCAGGUGCUACAACCAUUCCUAAACCAGUCCAUAGUGGUUUACUUUGACGAUAUCCUCGUAUACAACAAAAACAGUGAGGACCAUAUUCAACAUCUGAAGAAACUGUUUCAAGUCUUAACAGAAACAGAGUUGUAUAUCAAUCCAAAGAAAUGCACAUUCCUCAUCAGGGAAAUUGUCUUUCUCGGCUUCUUAAUCAAAGAAGGGAAGGUAGGCAUGGAACCAAAAAAGACAGAAGGCAUACAGUCUUGGCCAGUACAAACUUCAAUCAAAGAACUACAAGCUUUCCUUGGCUUGGCAUCCUUCUACCGAAGAUUCAUCAUAAACUUUAGCUCAAUAGUGGCCCCUUUAACUGACUGCCUAAAGAAAGGAAACUAUAAAUGGGACGGAAAUCAACAAUAGAGCUUCGAAGAGAUUAAAAGAAGACUAACUUCCAGCCCUAUUCUACAAUUGCCAGGUUUCACAUCACCGUUUGAAGUGGCUGUUGAUGCUUGCGGAACUGGAAUUGGAGCUGUAUUGUCACAGCAAGGCCACCCUAUUGAGUAUUUCAGUGAGAAACUAAGCACAUCAAGACAGUCCUGGAGCACAUAUGAACAAGAGCUUUAUGCCCUUGUCCCAGCACUCAAACAGUGGGAACAUUACCUCCUAAGCAAAGAAUUUGUACUUCUAACAGACCACUUUUCCUUAAAGUAUCUACAGUCACAAAAGAGCAUCAGUCGAAUGCAUGCUCGAUGGAUCUCCUUCCUACAAAGAUUUGAUUUUGUCAUCACGCACCAAAGUGGUAAAGAUAACAAGUUGGCAGACGCCCUAUCCAGAAAAAGCUCCUUGCUUACUAUCUUAUCAAUGGAGGUCGAGGCAUUUAAACAUCUACCUAACCUAUAUAAGGAAGAUGUUGAUUUCUCCCAAAUGUGGACUAAAUGCAACAACUUUAUCAAGGCUGAAGAUUUUCACAUGAUGGAAGGUUAUCUAUUCAAAGGAGAUCAGUUGUGUAUCCCGCACACAUCACUUCGGGAAGCCUUAUUAAAAGAAGCUCAUUCGGGAGGAUUGGCUGGACAUUUCAGGCAAGACAAAACCUUCGAAAUAAUCUCUAAGAGAUUCUAUUGGCCUCAACUAAGAAGAGACUGUAACAAUUUUGUCAACAGAUGCCCUAUAUGUCAAAGAGCUAAGGGCUCAAGUACAAACGCAGGCCUAUAUUCACCACUACCUACCCCAAUUUCCAUUUGGGGAGAUCUCCCAAUUGAUUUCGUGCUCGGACUGCCCAAGACCCAAAGACAGUAUGACUCAGUCAUGGUUGUAGUUGACAGAUUCAGCAAGAUGACACACUUUGUAGCCUGCAAAAAGACAAAUGACGCCACCUACAUAGCUAAUCUCUUCUUUCGAGAGAUAGUACGGCUGCAUGGAAUACCAAAUACCAUUGUUUCUGAUCGGGAUGUCAAAUUCCUAAGCCAUUUCUGGAAGACAUUAUGGAACAAAUUUGACACAACCUUGAAAUAUAGCACAACAGCACACCCUCAAAUAGUUGGCCAAACAGAGGUUACAAACAGGACCCUUGGCAACUUAAUACGCUGUCUCAGUGGAUCCAAACCAAAGCAGUGGGACUUAGCUCUUGCUCAGGCAGAAUUCGCCUUCAACAAUAUGAAGAAUAGAUCAACCAGCAAAUGUCCAUUUGAGGUUGUAUUCACGAAACAACCAAGGCUAACCUUUGACCUAGCAUCACUCCCCGCAACUAUGGACACUAGCUCAGAAGCAGAAAAGAUGGUAGAAAAUAUUCAGAACUUACAUGAAGAGGUCCACAGUCACCUAAAAGAAUCAACUCAGUUCUACAAAGAGGCAGCAGACAGAAAGAGAAGACAAGCUACCUUUACUGAGGGAGAUUUAGUAAUGAUUCACCUUAGAAGAAACCGAUUCCCAACUGGAACAUACAACAAACUGAAAGACAGACAAUUAGGACCAUUUUGUGUCCUAAAGAAGAUCAGAGAUAACGCUUACAAAAUAGAACUACCACCAGACUUACACAUUCAUCCUAUUUUUAAUGUAGUAGACCUAAAACAGUACUAUGCCCCAGAUGAUUUCUAUGCUAGGGGGGUGGAAUGAUGUAAUAAGAUAGUUAGUUUGUUGUCAAGACAGUUAGAUAGUUAGUCUGUUAUAUUCUGUUGUUAGUUGAAACUAAUCAGCUGUUUAAAACUGAUUAGUUACCCCAAACUACCAAAAUUGAUUGUAACUACCACAUACUUCAUCAAUAAAUAGCCAUUCUCCAGCUGAGAAUAGGCAGAGAAUUCAUUUGAGAAAUUAGUUCUACCUUGAUUUACAUUACAUGACAUACCUCCCAGCUAGUUGAUAUUUGCUUUUGUGGUGCACAUUACUUGUCGUCUUUCUCAGAAUCUUUUGGCAGCCUGGUUUCUGUUUUUUCUGUUAGAAAACUGUUGAAGUGCAGUUUCUUCACUUUAGUUUUUGUAACAUUUUUUCCCUUGUACUUUUCUUGUUUCAAGGAUUCCUUUUUCUUUUAAUUUAUUUAAUUUUAAUUUUUUUUAUUUUAAGUCACUGGACAUUAGGAGCUCCAUCUGCUUUAUUUUGUUGGUUGUUUUUCAAUGUGGUCUUCACUGAACUUUUUAAAAUAUAAGAAAGAAGAUGUAUUGGAAACCAAAACAUUACAGCAGUUCAAUACUGGAUUUAAAAUAUGUUAGAACCGAACUAUAUAUUCUCAUAACAAGUCUCUAUUUAUGAGUAUUGAAAGCAAUAAACAGGAAACCAAGACUUACGUGGAAACUCAAGUACUGUGAGAAAAACCACGAUAUUGUUGUUUUUAUUAUUUUCUUAUGAAUUAUUCAAUUGGUACAAUAAGGGAGAAUAAAUAGAAUACACAAAGGAAUAAAAAAGGAAAAGAUUUAGACAUUAGGGUAAAUAUUUCCCUAAUCUUUCCAUAAAUAUCCAAAGGGCCAAGCCCACUAAUUCUAACAAUGAGCGAUCCAGUAUAUUUAUUACUUACAUUCACAGGUUUAGUAGGUAUUGGCAAUCUCUAAUUUCAUUGCUAUUCCUCAUUUUUCAUGUUCUACAGAUGACCAAGCAUCCGGUUCUACUACUUUCCAACCAAGAACGAGUGCUAAGAAAUUUUAUAUUCCAGCGAGACUAGUGAUUGGCAAUGAUGAGUAUGUGAUUUAUUUAAACUAAUGCAUGUUUCGAGUAUGUGCAUGGAUAUUAGAUGAACAGUAUACUUGUGUAAUAUCACUAUAAUUUUUGUUUUUUCUGUAUAAACAAAAAUGCAGAUUUUAGUACUUCAUUUUCAUAGACAUAAAAGUUUCGAGACAAUUGUGCUACUAACGUUCUUGUAAUUGACUCUGAAUGACUGGUAGGUAUGUUAAGAUUGGAAAAGGCAAUCAAUUGGUCCGAAAUCCAAAAAGAAGAGCACGCAUACUGGCAAGUGAGAAAAUUCGAUGGAGUUUGCACACUGCGAGACAGCGGCUGGCUAAGAAGCGGAUGUACUGUCAAUUUUUCACAAGAUUUGGUAAAUGUAACAAAGAUGGUGGCAAGUGCCCUUAUAUUCACGACACUUCCAAGAUUGCAGUCUGCACAAAAUUUCUCAAUGGUUUAUGUUCUAACGCAAGCUGCAAAUUGACUCAUAAGGUUCACUAAUUGAACUGAUGAAUCUUUUCUUGCGUAAGCUUUAGUUUUGUUAAUGGUCAAAUGUCGAUAACCUUUCAUCUCAAUUUUUGAUCCUCACAGGUGAUUCCAGAAAGGAUGCCUGAUUGUUCAUACUUUUUACAGGGUACUUCUCAAACUUUAACUUCUCCAAAAAAAGAAAAAAUAUUUAUAGGACUCCAGGUUUAUAAGGACUUCUUGACAGGUUUAUGCAGCAGCAAAAAUUGUGCUUAUAGACAUGUAAAUGUGAACUCAAAGGUUCCUACUUGCGAGGCUUUCCUUAGGGGCUAUUGUGCUCUGGGAAACGAGGUAAUCUCCACUUUUCAAACAUUAUUUUCUGGCUACUUAACAUGAAGCACUUGCACAUUUAUUUAAUUUAGUCUUAACUCUUAACAAAUAUGCUGCAAAUUUUCUGGUCAAACACAUUGUUUGCUCCCUGAAACGAAACUCCCUGAAAAUCUUCAAUUUUUGCAAGUGUGCUUCUUGAUACUGGUGACCCUUCCUGACCGAGGACCCAAUAAUUUUUUCCGGUGGCGGAUGCUGAAAAAUAGUUCAAAAGAUAUUUUGUUGACUGUUUCUCAGAAAUGCUUUUAUCUUACUUCUAAAUUUGCUCCUUUAGACGCCAUUUGAAUUUUUAAAGACAAUAUCAAGUUUUUAACUCAAUAAUAUGUCGUGUGUAACUGUAAAUUGUGAAUCUAAUGAAACCUGGAACCUAAUUGUUCAGUGCCGUAAGAAGCACAGUUAUGUGUGCCCCUUGUUAGAAGCAACAGGAACAUGCCCGGAUAGAUCAACAUGCAAACUUCACCAUCCUAAACGACAAACUAAAGGAAGGAAAAGGAAGCGAUUGGAAGGGAGGAAUAAUGAUCAAGGACGCUACUUCGGUUCUACGAAUCAGGAUGUUUCUAGAUCUAGAUUGGUGGUGAGUGAGAAGCAGCUUCCUGUUAAAUCAAGUGACCCUUUUCUUGAAGAUCUGACAGAUUAUAUCAGCCUUGAUGUCGGCAGUGAUGAAGAUAUUGAAGAAAGUCGUGACUCGACAAGCCAGACUACGUCCUUUAGUCAAGGUUACCUCUCUGAGUUAUUGUUAGAAGAUCCCGACGAGCUAAUCAAACCAAUUCGGGUAAUGAAUGAGAAUUUGACUGUGCAGUAGUUGGCAAACUGAGUUGCUUGCUCCUUCCUCGUUAGGAGCAAGGUUUGUGUCCGUUCUCUCACCAUUAAGGUUUAACAGAAUCACAGUUUAGUUUAGUUUUAGUUUUAGUUUUAGUUUUAGUUUAGUUUUUUUUUUCUUUCUUUGUUUAGUUUAGUUUCAGCUUCUUCUAGUUGCAGAAAUCUGGAUAACUCCGUUUCUGCCAUUACUGUAAAUAGACAUUUAAAUUUGACAGGAAUGAAAUGAUUUUGUAUGAAAAGCUAAAAUAUUCUUUUUUAUUUUUUUUCUCUCUUCCAUAACACUUACCUAGGGUAACUAUUGUCUUCAUCCAAACUUUAUUUUUACUCCAUUCUGUUUAUUCUCUCUUUCUUUUUUAUUGAUGUUUUCAAAUAUGAACCUAACAUUGUAAAAUUUCAGAUAUUUUCAUGAAAUUUUGUGAUAGUUCUACCAUUUAUAAUAAUUCUUUUUUAUUCUCUUUGGUUUUAUUAAUAAUUAUUUCUAUUUUAUACCAUAUAUCUUCAAAAUUUCUUCAACUGUCUAUAAAAGGUUUAUAUUAUUUGUCAUCAAUUAUUUUAUUGUGUAUGGAUAUGUAUUGAAUUUUAUUCUUUUGAAUGAUGUGUGUAUGUUGGGUUUCACAAAAAGUUUAAGUAAAGGCGUUUUAGGUUUAGUCACAAAGUUAGUUUAUAAACUAAUUUGAAAUAGUUUUCUGAUUUUAAAAAGUAGCUAAUAUGCUCGUAAACCUAAUAAAAUAUUUAUUUGAAAUUAACUAAUUGUUACGUGAGAUUAGUCAAUUAACCUUACAAUAAACUCAAAAACUUCCAAAUGCCACUUUUAUUCGCAUAUAUUUUUUAAUUUUAUUCGAAAUAAAAAUAUCAAUAAAGAAUAGAAUUAAAAAAAGGAGACGUUAAUAGAUAUUUUUAUAUAAUUUCUUACAUUAUAAUAUUUACAUCAUUAAACAUGAACCGAUUGAGGUCGGAUACUAUUUUGUUGCUAUGGAUGUUUCGUGAACAACGUCAUGGACCGCUGGUUUUGUGAGUAAUCCAUUAUUGAAAUGUAAAGUUUGAGAAAGCAUGAAGAUUAAGAAUCUGUUUGGAUUGAAUUAGAAACAAAAUAUUUUUCAAAAAUACAUUUUCUUUUAACACUUUCUUGAAAAUGAGUUUAAAUUUAAACACUUACAUGUUUGGUUAGACUUUUUUAUAAGUGUUUAUAUGUAAAUUUUAUUUAAUUUCUAUAUACCAAAAAUGUUUUAUACUUAACUUAAAGAACUACUAAAUACGAUCAUCUAAUUUCAUAAAAAACACAUAUAUUUUAAUUUUAAAAAAGAAAUAUGCUUUGAAAUUAAUCACACUAUAUAUUGGAACUAAUUAUUUUAAAAUUUUGAAAUUUGUAAAGUUAGAACUAAAAACAUUUUUUUUUAUUAAUUUUUAUUUUAGGACUAGAAGUAUAUUGAUAUUUAAAUUGAUAAACAAGAUAUUUAUUUAUUUAUUUAUUCUUUUAAAAAAUAAAUAAAAGAAAUUAAUAAUACCUUCCGAAAUAAACACACAAAUGAUAAUAACCACGUAAUCUGCACCGAAGCGGCCCCCUUGGGAGAAAAAGAAAACUGCAGAAAGGAAAUUCCAAAGAGGGCAGACUGGCGGUAGCAGAAAGAAAGAAGAAGACUAAGGCAUUUAGGGCAAAGCUUUGAACAUUCAUAUUCCUCAUAACAAUGCCGGUGGAAUGAAUCGCUUCUAAGGGAACAUCCCACGGGGUACCCACACCUUUCAUCGAAGAACUACUGAAGUUCGAAGUUUUCUUACGCGAUUUUUCUGCUUUUUGAUUCAAUGGUUGACGGGAGUACUGGAAUGCAUUUUCCCGAUCAUCGGUUGGAUAGGUCAUUGUGUCAAAGUUUUUGUCACGGAAUUGUGGAGGGGGUGUCUGGGGUGGAAGAAUGUGACAAGGACUAUCUGAAUUUCUUAAAUGAUUUGACGUACGGUGUGGACAGUAAUGAUGAGAACGUUGAUGCUUAUCUUGAGGAUGGUGAUAAUUCGACUUCACACUUUAACUGGUCGGAUAAAAAAGUUGAUCCUGUUUAUAGGAUGUUUUUUCACCAUUUGAUCGGAGAUGGGAAAGCUUAUAAGCUUGAAAUUCCAUCGGUUAAUGGGAUGAAAGUGUAUGCUGUGAAGUACGAGGAACAGGAACAAGAACAAUCAAGUCUUAAUAGAAAAAGACCUGGAACUACCAGGAUCUUAAGGAGUGAUUCAAAGAGAAUGAAGAUAGAGAGCCAACCUAAAAAAAGCCCGGUUUUUUCAUUUGAAAAAGAGUUCAAUGUGGAUUGUGCAAAAUCUAUUGAUGGAAAUUCAAGCACAAUCCCCGGUGCACUUCCUCGUUCUGCUAAGCAUCUUUUCCAAUCCAAUUCUGACUCGAAUUUGAUAGAUGAAGACUACAAGACAUUUUUGAAUGAUUCCUUUUAUGAUGAUGAUCAUACAUUGACAUAUACGCCAGUGGACGGUAGGUCAAUUGUCUAUGAGGACGGUGAAAGUAUCUCUGAUUCAGAAGUGCUGAUGUUUGAGACUGAUCCAUGUAAGCAAAACCGUCGUUCCUUUGGGAGAAAAUAUUCUUGUUUUACUGUGAGUAUAUCUAAUUCCGGUGCUAUGAUCUCUCUGUAUUCUAAUGAGGAAUGAUAUCUGUUUCUGUCUGUUCUUUGCCUAUAUUAGUUAUUCUAUGUCUUACAUUGAUAGAUUUCUCUCUUUCCAGGUGGACGUAGAUAGUGGGAAGUGUCUUAGUCUUGGUAGACGUACUGGUUCCAAUUUCAGGGAAAGGCUCAUGAAAGUUCUUAAAAGUCCAUACGACGAACGUCAGUAUGACUAUUAUCUUGAUGAAGUAAGUCGUCGUCGGCCACAAGUGCGUCAUAGAGAGUUACGUAGUCGAGUGCUAAAAGCAUAUCAACUGGAUUCUUACGGCAAAUCAUAUCUUCAUAUCCAUAGUGGUGAGUUUUCUUAAUCCAAUUGUAAUUUUCUUUUGAAAUUAUAUUGACUGGAUUUUUUUGUUAUCAAUUACCAUUCUUCUUCAGUGUGUUCAAAGGUACCUGAGGAACAUAUUUCCUGUAGACUUUCAUCCUUAGAGAGGAUCUUCUUACCCUGAUCUGAUACUUUUAUCAGAUUUUACUUUCAUAGUUUGCUGCAAUAUUUUCUCGUUAUUAAAGAUAAAAUAGUUCUUCAGUAUUCUGACUUUCAAAGAACUAAUAAAUGUUAGAAGAAACCAUGAGUGAUUUUCUACUACUAACAUGGUAUCUACUCGAUCCAUCUACUAUGUCACACCAUUUUGAAAUGUUUUGAUGUGACGACAUGAAAUUUUUUUCAUACUAACAUAGUACUAGAUGUUGGCCCACGGAACUACCUUCUAGCUUGAUGUGAUGAAUGUUUUAUCUUAGAAAGUGUUAAAGUAACCUUUUUGACAUGUCCUAUUGUUUGUCAAAUAGAUAUCUGAUUUACUCUUGCUUUUUUUCGGUUCAUUAAUUUAUUUGCAUGAUGUUUGUUAUUACCGGUGUGAGGUUCUAUAUACUAAUAGUAUCUCCUAUGUUUUCUUACUGCAGAGCUUGCUACGAAAAUCCAAGCAGUUCAAUAUGAUCGCCUUAGAACUUUGACUCUACUGCGUGGCUUCUUCUAUUGGUUGCAGGUAGUUUUUAUAUUAAUUUAGCACAAAUUUUUAUUUCAGUAGACAUUUUUAAAGAAUGUCUCAAUGGUUAAGCAGCAUUUCCUCUCUUAAAAGGUCGGAAAUAUUAUUGUUGAACUUGAAAAAAUAGUCAUUUUUAGCAAUGAGUAGGGAUGACACGAAAGUGAAAUGAAGUUUUCUCACCAGCCAGUUCUUUGUUUUUUUUUUUCAAACUGAAACAAGUAGUUUUAUUAGAGAUCAGGAAGAGGCACAAGCUCAAGCUCAGUGUACAAGAGAGUUAUACAAGAGCUUACUAGAUAACUAGAACAAGAGGCAAAAUAAAAACUAAACAAAGGAGGUAAGCUAAAUUACACAAGACAGUAAAAUCAUAAGUGCAAAACUCAUUGGGGCAGAAUCAAGCUGGAGAAAUGAAAGCGUUCCAAUUAAGUUAAGAUGUUGAAUGCUGUAGCUGCUGAAAAUCUUUGAGUUCGAACACCAGGAGGAGGCAUUACAAUGAGCUAUAUCAAAGCGGUUCGUCCAAUCACCUGAUUUGUCAUGGAACACCUUUUGAUUCCUUUCAAACCAAAUUUCUGCCAAUAAAGCAUUCACCGGGUUUACCCAUAGUAAAGGAGCUUCUUUAUUUAGCUGGAGACCGCUUUGUUAAAGCAUCACAUUAUCACAAAAAGAUGCUCCAAGCGCCCAUGACAAAUUAAAGAUUUUAAACAGCCUUUUCCAAAAGUUGGCCAAAAACUUACAGAGGAAGAACAAGUGUUGGGAAUCUUCUGCAUGGUGUAGACAGUGGGCAAAUGGAGGGAGAGAGGCAACUAUUAGGUAGCUUACGUUGUAAAACUGAGAAGACAUUCAAUUGCUCUAUCAAUGUUAUCCAAACAAUGAUACUUGAUAAUGCAGAGCCCCAGUGAUCAGUAACCGAACCAUUGUGAAAUAAUGUUAUUCGGAACAACCGUGGAAAUGUUAAAAUGAAGAGUUGACACACCCUUCCAUGGAUCUAACCAAAAAGCUAUCCUUCUCCAUUUCUCAAUCUAAAGGUGGCCAAAGCUUCUAUUUUCAACCAGGUUCUGGCUAUACUCAUCCAAGGGCAUCUCGAGCAAAUGCCUUCUUUUCCGACAAUGUGCUAAUUAAAAGAGCCUUUGUCGUGGAUGCUCCUGAUAAACCUUUCACCCCCAUUUGGCUAGAGAGCCAAGUUUUUUAUUUUAGGGGACCGAGGCCUCCAUCCAAAGAAGAUUUAUUGACCAUUUUCCAAUUGACAAGGUGGCUUAAUUUACUGCCCUUAUGACCCUCCCAAAAGAAAUUCCUCAGAAUUCUUUCCAAUUUUGAAGAGACUCCUUCUGGCAAUAGAAAUGUAGACGUGUAGUAAGUGGGAAUAUUUAAAAGGGCAGAUUUAUAGAGGGUAGCUCGACCCCCUCUCGAAAGGUUAAACCUCUUCCAUUUAUCUAACUUUAUUUGGACUUUAUCAAGCACUGGUUGCCAAAAAGAGGAAAGUUUGGUGUACCCCCCUAACGGCAAUCUGAGGUAGAUCAAAGGGAGGUGAUCUACCUUGUACCCCAAAGAGGAUGCGGUGGACAACAAAUCCAUUUCUUACACAUUGAUCCCACAUAAUGUCAACUCGUCCCAGUUCACUUUUUGGCCGGAGCACCAUUCAAAAAGCUUUAUUGUCUGUUUCAAAUUUUCUAACAUGUUGUCAUAUUUGCAAAAUAGAAGGGUAUCAUCCUUAAAUUGGAGGAUAGGAACGUGAAUCUUAUCCAUUCCCACUACAAAACCUUCAUAAAAGCCAUUCUGGUGUAGAUUUUCAAUUAGUGUACCAAGGACUUCACCUACAAGUAGAAAAAGGAAAGGUGAAAGAGGGUUGCCUUGUCUAAUUCCCCUGAUGGCCAACACUCUUCCUCUUGGCCUGUCAUUGAUAGAAACUGAAUAUCUCGGGCUCUUGACACAACCCUGGAUCCUCUCAAUCCACUUGUGGUCGAACUUUUUGCUUCUCAUGAUUUUUUCGAGGAAAUCCAGUCAAUCCUAUCAAAUGCUUUUUCCAGAUCAAUCUUGAGAAGCCAACCUUUCUUUUUCUUUGCCCGGUACUUCUCAACAAUUUCAUUAGCUACAAGGAUUGGCUUGAGUAUUUGCCUUCCUUCUAUGAAUGCACUUAGCGUGGGGUAAGGAUACUUGGCAUUACCUUUUUAAGUCUUUCAGCUAGCAGUAGCACUUUGGCGAUUACCUUGUAGGUUAAGGUUGUAAGACUGAUUGACCUGGAUUUGAUGGCUACUGCAUUUCUUUUACCCUAAACCCUCCCUAGACCCUAGACCCUAGACCCGGAUCAACCAGAUGAAUUCUCCUACAAGCAAACAUUCAAUUUCCAUUCCUAUAAAAACCCUCAAAAACCGAGAUGAAGUUUAAUUUAAUUUGACUAAAUUCCAAUGCCUAAUUAAGAAUUCAGCCGGAAAGCUGUCGGGACGAGGUUUGAGGGGAUACAUCUUGGGCCAGGGCUUUCGGAGAAAAGCGUAGCAUAAAACUCCAGAAUCAGGCUUUCAAUUUCUCUGAAGGAAUUGGUAGGCUCCCCAAGAUCAUUAUCUCAGCAAUCGGGUUUUUCCUUUUUUAACUGUGAGAAAUCUGUGGAAGAAGCUGGUGUUUUCAUCCCCUAAGCGGAUCCAAUUCAACUUUCUUUUCUGAAUUAGAUUCAUCUCCUCAAUUUUGUGUAAGGACAUCAAUUCCGCCUUCAAUGAAGAUCUGGAUUCUAGUUCAAAUUCAGAAAGAAGAAAUGAGUCUGCCAUAGCAUCCCGCAUUUCAAUUUCCCGAGUCAGUUCUUCUUCUCUUGUCUGUUUUUUCUGAACUCCAGCUAGGCCGCCCUUCUCAACUUGUCACUAAGUACAAAAUCUGUCCAGCCUUCAGAACCACUGUUAGUCCAUGCUCCUUCAACUGCCAAAUUACACUCGUAGUUGCAUGAUCCGAAGAGGGAGGGCCCCCAAGUAAAUGAUCCGGCCUCAAGCAGAAUGGGUAAGUGGUCUGAGAAUAAACGAGCUUGCCUAGAAGCUCUUGUGUUUCGAAUUCAUCAUCACAAGCUCUAUUAGUAAAAAAUCUGUCCAGAACUGAUAUUGCAACUGAAGCCCCUUCUCGAGACCAAGUGAACUUACCAUUUCCAAGGGGAAUUUCCAGCAGCAUAGCUUUGUCAAUGAAGCUAUUAAACAGCUACAUUGUUGAAAGUAUCUAUAAUGAAUUUAAAUUCUUAGGUUUUUCUUUUCCCCCUAGUACUAUUCUGUAAAACUAUACUCAUUUUGUAAGAAGUGUUGCAAUCUGAGAGGAUAUUUUGUGAUUAUUUCUUUCUUUAUUUUCCAGAAUUUAUCACAUGAGGAUGCGUUUCAGCCUUGGAUGGAUCCAUCAUGCUUGAGUGUGUUGCCGCAGUCAUAGCUUGGAAGUUUAGCACAAUUUGGCUCUUGUUUCACUUUAUAUGCAGAAGAAUGAAUCCAGAUAAAAUGGUACAUCAUGAAUGUAUUUUGGUUGGUCGUGGGUUUCAUGUUUUUGUAAAUAUAUUAGGAAUUAAAUUAGUAGGUGCUAUCCAUUACAUUGUAACUCUUGUUGAGCCCAUGACAUUGAAGUGUAGAAGAAACACAUUCAUUCUGCUUAGUGUAGCAUUGCGUCUUUUUUUUUUUAUUCAUUUGGAAGAUUUUAAAAGACCAAGAUUUCAGAUUAUGAGACAGGGAAUUAAGAGAGGGCAAACUAUCACUCUGACUUCAGCUUAAACAAGUCUACACUCUAAACAUUAUCUUAAUAUUAACUCCAAAUUAAACAACUCUGCUCUCUAAUAAACACAAACUUCACACUAAACAGCUUCGCAUUCUGAAUAUAUAUUCAAUUACUCUUCUCCGAACUAGCUCAUAGUUUCAAUUUGGUCUUUUGAGUGUUUCAAGAUGUCAACAAAAGGUUGUCUAUGAUAUAUAGUAGCUUUUGAAGGUAUAAAACUACAAUUUGGAAGAUUUCAAUUUGGUCCUUCUCUGGACAGUGGCAUGUCUUUCUUUUCUUUAUUGUAGUUUCUCCCCAAUGAUAUAGUAGCUUUUGAAGGUGUAUAAAACUACAAUUUGUAGAGUUUAUGCAUUGAUGCAAUAUCAAAAUGAGAUGAAGGUGAAUAAUAUUUAUGAUUCUAUUUGGAAGACAACAUUUAAUUACAUUUGUAAAAUAUUUAUUUUGAUUGUAGAUCAUCCUGCGGUAGAUCGUUGGCAUUGAACAUAAUUCUUGGCUUUCCCAUGCUGAAGUUGAGAACCCUUGCAUUCAUAUUGUACUUGAUUUCUCCAUCAUAAAGCAUCUUUCUUAUGUAGUGUUCUAUGUCUGAACCUAUUAGCCUAAGUGUAUAUUCUGUCAAUGGAGCUCCCUGGUUUUCCACAAAUAAACACACACCCCAUCAAUAUAACUUAAUUGUCACACUAACUUCACAAAUCUAUAUUACAAAAUAUGCGUACGUGUGUCAGUAAUAUUGCCCUUCUAUCAUUACACUAUAAAUUUUGGAUGAAAAUUAAGACCUAAAACAAGUAGGGUGAUGACUUGGAACCGAACUUUUUGGACGACGAUAAAAUAAUCUAUUGCCUUCAAAUUCACUAACAUCUUGUUUAGUUAAUAUUUACUUUUUCAAUUUCUUAUUGUUUUCUAUUUUCUACUUGAUGUUUUAAAAAAUGAAAGCAAGUUUUAAAAACUACACAAAUUCUUUUAUUUUUAUUUUUAGAAUUUGACUCAAAUAGUUAACCAAAUAAACCCUGGUUUAGAAUAUAAAUAUAUUUUACAAAAUUUCCCUGUCAAAUGUUGUGGGCUUCGAUUGUUGUUUUGUCAAUUGAACCAUACAUACCUUUAAUCAAUAAAAGUACAUCAAUGUAUUUAUACAUUCUUUAGCUCAAUUAGUAUAGUAUUAGCUAGUCCUAUUUUAUUAACAAAUAGGUCGAUUUGAAGUUUUGGCAGAGCUAACCCAUGAUAUAACAAAGGAUCCUAAAAUACUAAAGAAAGAGAGAGAAAGAAAAGUACCUCAUAAUGAUCCACAAGCUCUUGGAAGUAAGCAUAGACUUUAUUGCAAGUUUCAGGAUUCCAAAGGAACUCAUUACUUGGAUCCAAAAGGAGAGUGAGUUUAUCCAUUUGAGUUUGAUCAAACUCACAAGUAAUUGGGUCAAUGUAAGCUGCAUAUAUUCUUACAUGUCUUGUUACACUGCUAAGCCAUUGUCCUCCAUACUCUCUCCCCAUGUUUUUGCUCUUCACAUUCUGUUGUACUUCCACGGGCCGCAGCGGCGACGGUUUCGGCUUUGCCUGUUCUUGAUCUUCUUCCUGGUCUCCAGCUUUUAGUUGCUCUGCAGCUUCAUUGAUCUGAGCUGAGAUGGGAAAUCUGAGUGUGUGUUUUGUGUUUUGUAUGCCAUUUUUCCAACCCACCAUAGAAAACAUUAUGUAAGAUGAAGCUGCUGCUGCUGCCGCCAUGGGAGAGUUCUUUUGGUGUCUAUCUUUUAGAAAAUGGUUGGUUUUGAUUUCUCUGUUUUAUAGUUUUGGAGUAUUUUCCUUUUUUCCCUAUGGAGGGUCUUUGUUUUUCUCUUCUUUUUUUCUUUUUCAAAUGAAAUGAGAUCCAAUUGUUUGUGGAUAAGAUUUUUUUGGUUAUGUUUCAUCAUUUGGUGCACUUACAUACAUACAUCCAUACACACAUUUAGGGCCAAAAACUUAAGAAAAUCUAUUCAGUUGAUUGAAUUAUUUUGGUAAAGGCUUAACUUAACAAUAUUUGACAUGAUCUAUCGUUAUAAUAAAAGAAUGGAAACUAUUUGGUGAAGAUAUAUUUGUUUCAUUUGUUUGUCAAAUAUUCAUGAUGCAUACAUUAUACAAAAACGAUUUAAUUUAAAUUUUUUCUUGUUUGUUUUCCAUUUUCGAGGUUAUCACAAUUUUUGAACAAAUACUUACCCUUUUAAUCUAAUUCUAAAAGCAAAACAAGUUUUAGAAAACUAACUUAUUUUAGUUUUAAAAUUUUGAUUUGGUUUUUGAAAAUAAUGAAUAAAAGUAAACAAUAAAAUUAAAAAAAAUAUUUAGACUUCCACGAAUGCAUAUCAAACUAUAAGGAAACAUAGUCAAUUGGAACCAAAUUCAACCAAAUGAUUAUAUACAUUACAGAACUAAAAGUUUAGAAAAGAGAAAAUAAUAACAAAUCUCCAUAAAAACGACUUGCUCCCAACUUUAAGGGCUUGAUUGGGUUCGAGGGUUGGAGUCGGAUGGAAUGAGUUAUUAUAGUCACUCCACUUUUAGUCCUUAGAGAUAUAAUAACGUUUUUAAGAGAAAUGAUUUUUUUUUUUUGAAUUUUAACAAAUAAUAUUUUUUUGCACGUACAUGGUAUUUUAUAAAAUACCAAAAUAUCAUCAUUCUCAAACGUAAUUAUUUCGUUUCUACAUUGUAAUUAAUUUAUGUUAUGCAUUUGUCGGCAUUUAAUUAUUUUUCACAGACAAAAGAUAUAACAACUCAUAUCAUAACUUUUUUCCUAAUAUGUCGAAACUCAACUAAUUGAUUCAACGAUAACUUUAUUCAAUCUUACAAAUUUCAAAAUAAUAAAAUUGAAUUUAAAUUUCAAAAUAAUCUUAUUGAAUUUUAAAAUAAUAAAAUUAUUAUUUUUCAGAAUUUGAGAAUCUCAACCGUAGAUUUUGUGUCAAAAUAACAUUAAUUGAAUUUCAAAAUUAAAAAAUAUAAACUUGUUUACUAUCUUAUCUCAAAAUAACAUUAAUGACUUGAAUUAUUUUUAAAUUGAAAGAAUCUCAAUAUUAAUUUUGUUUUAAAAUAAAUAUCAAAAUAACCAAAUUAUUAAUUUUUGAAUAGAAAAAUCUUAACUAUUGAUUUCAAAAUAACCCAACAACUAUUUUGAAUUUAGGAGAAUUUCAACCAUUUAUUUUAUUUCAAAAUAAUGUUUUAAUAUUAAAAUAAAAUUUAUUGGUUGAAUCACAAAAAUAACCAAAUUAUUAUUUUGAAUUAAAAUUUUAUUAGGUUUCUUUUGUUUAAAUGAGAACUCGCUUGUUGUUUGUUUCCUAAUGUUUCUUAUUAAGAGUUUAUGAAAGUCUAAUUAACUUAUUAUAAAAAUAUAGCUUUGUAUAUAUAUACAAUUAUGUAAACCAAUUAAAAUUAAAAACAAUUACUACUUGUGUUUAGAAAUAUUUUUAAAUCAUAUUCAUUUGACCGAAUAACAUUAAUUAAAUUAAAAUUUCUAUCAAUAUUGAUUUAAAACUGUAAUUAGUAUAAUUAUUUCAAUAUAUUGUAUUUUUAUCAAAAAUAUUUUGUGUAAUUAAUUUGUGAUAUAUUGUUGUAAAUUUAUCAAAGUCUUUCAAAUAUAAUUAAUUUGUGAUAUACAAUUAUGAAUAUGUAAUUAAUUUCAACGUUAGAGAACUCUAUCAUAAUCUCUUCUUAGUAUCUCGAAAUUUAAAAAUAUCAAUAACUUCAUUCAUUUUUUUAUUUCAACAUUGUGGUAAGAUUUUAACAACUUUAUUUAUUUUUUUAUUUCAAAAUAAUCAUAUCAUUAAUUUUUAUUGGCUAAAUCUCAUUUUUUUUAUUUCAAAAUAUGAUGAAUCAUUUCGUAACCUUUAAUAACUUUAAAUUAAAAUUAGUUUUGUUUAGAUUUUAAUUUAUUUUUGAAUUUUGAAUUUGAAAAACUUUUUUUUAUUUAUUUGGAAAUUAAAUCUCAACUUUUUUUUAAAUUUCAAAAUAAGUUGAAUAUUUCGAUCCUUAAUAGGUUAGAAAUUAAAAUUAGUUUUUGUAUUAGAUCUUAAUUUAUUUUUCCAAUAAAAAAGGCUAAGAUAUCGUGUUUUUGGAUAAAAUCUCCCAAAUUUGCUCGAAGAAGAUGAGAUGAAAAAAGAAAAAAGAAAAAUGGAGACGAAGGAAGAUUUUCAAAAUGAAAGAUGAGAAACGAAAAACAAAAAUGAAGAUCGUUGCAAUGGGUCUAGAAAAUGAAGACGAAGGAUUCUGACUUUGAUCGAAAAAAUAUGUAUUUAAGAUUUAUUAAAGUAUAUUUAUUCUAUUUUAACUUUAAGAAAGUAUCUUACACUUUAUGUAUAUAAGGGUAUUUUGGGCUUUUACAAAUUCUUAUUUAUUGUUUUUUUUCUUUCAUUUUACCAUUUUUGAAAAAGAAAAGCGAUUUUGCUAUUUUUCAAAAUGACAAAUUUAAAAUUGCUAUUCUUUAAAGAUACAAUUCUUUAAAGAUUCUUCUAGUUGACUCUUAGAAGAAUAGUUAUUUUUGGAGAAAUUUGAGUGGUAUAUUUUUCUUUGGGAUAUUGUUUCUUAAGUUAAUAAGAAGAAUGAUAAAUCUUCCACAAUAUGAUUGAUAAAUAUGAAAUUUAUAAAAAUAUUUUAGAUUUUUUACUUUGCUAGACUGUAUUUUGUAUUUUGUUAUAUUUUGGAAAUGUUAGAAAAUAAAUGUAUAAAUAUUUAUUAAAGAUACAAUUUUAGUUAGGAUAUAAUAUAAUAACUAAUUGGAAAUAUUAAGAACAAUUGGACAUCUUUGAAAGACUUGCUCCAAUUUUCUCUAGCAAAUAGAUCUAAGAUUAAAAUACCAUAAACGAGUUUGCAAAAUACAAUUUGUUUCGUAAAUCCAACCACCUUGCCAAUGUCCGAUCUAUUUAAAAUACACUAUACGUGUAAUGUAAACCAUGAAAUACAAUAAAGUCAUAAAUCCUCGUGUCAAUAUUUUGCUAAAAAAACUUAUUCCGCAUAGUUUUUGCUAAAUUUCCAACCGAGUAAAAUAAUUUUGGCAUUUCAUCCAAUUUCUUAAAAGAAGGAAAAAGCUUAAUUUAGCUUAAAUAUGACACAAAUAUAUGCCCGAGCCCAUAAAGUCCACGGAAGAACUUCAAAAAUAUAGAAGUUCUCUUCGUUCGUGAGGAUAGAAAUUUUUGGUUUUAGAGAGCUUAGAGAGAAUUCUUCUAACAGCAAAGCUCUUGAAAACUGUAUCACUCCUUGAAACUUAAGUUCCUUGGAGAUACAAAUAUUCUUUCGACUACAGCUUUAGAAACAUCACGAAGCGAAAGGAUCAAACACUAGAUAUCGAAUCUCACCGCAUCAAAUCAAUAUAAACAUAACAUCAACACAAGUUCAACUCCACAAAACACAUUUUUUUCGAAAACUUCAUGCAAACAAUUACAUACAUACAUAUAUAUCCAACAAUACAUACUAUAAUAUUACUGAAACUACAUGAAUAAUAUAAAUUAUCAUUGUAAUAAUAGUAAAAGUAUGUUGUAAUAUAGUAAAUAUAUCCUAGAAUCUAUAAGACCAACGACAUUCAAUUUUAAAUAUAAUAACACCUAUAACACCACGUGAGAUAUACACGUUUGUAAUAUAGUGAAUAUACUAAUAAAAUAUAAGUAGAUAUCUAACGUAUACGUAUAGUUGCACUCAUUUACUAUAACUUUUUGAUCUAUAGGACAUAUAGUGAUGACAUUUGUAAUACAUCUUAGAGUCCUAGACCAAAUUGAUAGCAAAAGACAUGCCCACUAUCUCUUAAACCGGCUUAAAAUCAACAUGAUCUGUUACCAUGAUCAACGCUAUCGUUUAAAGUAUUAUUUCACUACACGAUUGUUUAAUCUAAUUUAAACAUUGUGUAUACAUACCAGACGAUCGUUUAUAUUAUAUUAUACAAUUGUUUAUGUUUGAAACUUUGUUGUCAUUGUUUAGAGUUUAUUAUCCGAUAUUUUAAAUUUGAAGCAUUUUUUUUCAUCAUUUAAAAAUGAAGUAGAGAGUCGCGUUUUAGAAUUUAAAUCAUCGUUUAUAUUAUAAUACACAAUUAUUUAGAAGAAGAUUACUUGCACGUUUGAUAUUUCAGCUUGUGAACGGUUUCCUUUUCAAAAUGAUUAUAUGUAGGGUAAAUGGUUUGCUAUAUUUUAAAAAAGAAAAAACUCCAACUAAUUUUGAAUUAGGCUAAAUCUUAGAAUGUUUGAUGUAAAUAAGCAGACACGAGUGAUUCAAACCCUCGUAAGCUUAGAGAGCGGAGGAUUGUUAAUUUUGGGCCAACGUCCUUGAGAACGUACCGAGAACUUCAAAUCUGUGGCGAAAAGAAAUAUAGGGUUUAACUAAGAUUUUGGGUCACGUAGUUGGGGACGGCAGCUUCAGCCUUCGACCAUUCCGAUUAGACUCCCCAAAUUUCUCAUUCAACAUGGCUUUCAAGACCAACACCGUUGCUUCCGCUUCUUCUGCUGUUGCAAUUUCUUCCGAAGUUAAGCUCCUUUCCUCUCUAUUUACUCACUCUCCCGCCGUUCUAUCAUCAAAUCCCCAAAUUUCCUCUGCAAAUAAUCCCAAGUCCCUACAUGCAUCACCGGAACGGAUUUCCUUUCAACACGGGAUUCCGAUGUUCCUACAUAAGUGCAAGACAGGUAGUAUCUCUGUAACUCAAGCACACCAAUUCUUUGACCUAAUGAUGCGUUCAAUCUUUUCUUUCAAUCGUUUACUUGCUGGACUUGCUAAGAUUGAGCAUUACUCUCAAGUGUUUUCUCUCUAUAAACAAAUGCACCUUGCUGGACUUUGGCCCGAUUUACUCACACUGAAUAUAUUGAUUAAUUGCCUUUGUAAUGUGAAUCGGAUUAACGAAGGUCUCGCGGCCAUGGCGGGGAUUAUGAGGAGAGGUUACAUUCCUGAUGUAGUGACAUUUACUACCUUGAUUAAGGGCUUGUGUGUGGAGCAUAGGAUUAUUGAAGCUACUAAGCUAUUUAUGAGAAUGCAAAAGUUAGGUUGCACGCCUAAUGUGGUUACUUAUGGAACUUUGAUCAAGGGCCUAUGUGCAUUAGGGAAUAUUAACAUCGCACUUAAGUGGCAUCAAGAAAUGCUCAAUGACACUAGUCCAUAUGUAUUUAAUUGUAGGCCUAAUGUUAUUUCCUACAGUAUCAUCAUAGAUGGACUUUGUAAGGUUGGAAAUUGGGAGGAGGCUAUAUGUUUAUUCAAUGAGAUGGUGGAUCAAGGUGUUCAACCAAAUGUUGUCACAUUUAGUGUGUUGAUUGAUAUGCUUUGCAAGGAAGGACAGGUUAUCAAGGCUAAGAAGUUGCUAGAGAUGAUGAUUCAGAUAGGUAUUGUUCCUAAUUUGUUUACUUAUACUUCAUUGAUUAAGGGGUUUUGUUUGGUUGGUGACUUGAAUAGUGCCAAGGAGUUGUUUGUUAGUAUGCCAAGUAAGGGAUAUGAACCUGAUGUGAUUAGUUACAAUAUGUUAAUCAAUGGGUAUUGUAAAACCUUGAAGGUGGAAGAAGCAAUGAAGCUUUUCAAUGAAAUGCUUCAUGUGGGAAUGUGGCCAGAUGUGAAAACAUCGGGUGUCUUGUUAAAAGCGCUUUUUCUUGCCGGCAAGGUUGAUGAUGCAAAGGAACUAUUUCGUGUCAUUAAACCUUAUGCUAUGCCCAAAGAUUUAUGUAUAUGUUGUAUUUUCUUAGAUGGGUUGUGUAAGAAUGGUUAUAUUUUUGAAGCGAUGAAACUUUUUAAUGAGCUAGAAUCUUACAACAUGAAAUUGGACAUUGAAACCUUUGGUUGUCUAAUUGAUGGUCUGUGCAAAGCAGGGAAACUUGAAACUGCUUGGGAGCUAUUUGAAAAACUAUAUGAGGAAGGAAUUCAACCGGAUGCUAUGGCUUAUUCCAGUAUGAUCCAUGGGUUUUGUAAGAAGGGACAAGUAGAUAAGGCAAAUAUUUUGUUUCAAAAGAUGGAAGAAAAUGGUUGUUCUCCCGACUUAAUUACUUAUAGUAUCCUUAUGCGUGGUUUCUAUGAGAGUAAUAAAUUAGAGAAAGUGGUUCAACUCCUCCAUAGGAUGAUUGAAAAGGAUGUGUGGCCAGAUGAUGGCAUUUAUGCUAUAGUUGAAGACAUGGUUUGCAAAGAUGAAAAAUAUAAAGAAUGGCUAGACUUGCUUCAAAGAUUUUUUGUCCAAAAGCAUCGGAAUGGCUAUUUAUAGACUUAGAAGCUAUAUGACUUGGAAAUAUCUAAUCAGUUUUGAGAAGCAAUGAAACACAUUGGUUUCCAUUUUUCUUCUUUGUUGCUAAAAAAAAUAUUUGAGUUGUUCUUCACGAGCAGCAUUGGUAGCGAGUUUGUUAAGAAAUGGAGAGAGAGAGAGAGGCUGACAAUGGAGUAAUUAUACUUGGGAGAAUUGAAAUCACAACCACCAGCGGGGAGGAGCACAUUGAUUGACGACAUCGCUCGUGGGUGUGAGACUGGAGAAAAUAGGGUGUUGUGGUGUGAGAAGUUGUUGGUUAGUAUGCCAAGUAAGGGAUAUGAACCUGAUGUGAUUAGUUACAAUAUGUUAAUCAAUGGGUAUUGUAAAACCUUGAAGGUGGAAGAAGCAAUGAAGCUUUCCAAUGAAAUGUUUCAUGUGGGAAUGUGACCAGAUAUGAAAGCGCUUUUUCUUGCCGAAAUCACAAAUCUUUUCCUAGAAAAGCUCAAUGACCACUAGCGGGGAGGAGCACAUCGAUCAACGACAUUGCUUGUUGGUGGGAGACCGAUGAAAAUAGGGCGUUGUGGUGUGAGAAAAUGUGGAAAUGAAAAAGUUCUUAACAACAGACAAAAAGGGGAUUUGAGCCUUGAUGCCUCGUCAAAUGCAUAUCUUCUAUUCGAAAACCGACAUUAAAGAUUCACCUCUUUGUUAGACACUUUUUGACAUAGUACAUAAGUAUUAGUUUCGCGAUCAACUUCAAAUGCCUAAUUUGUUGUAAUGUUUGAAAUUAGGUUGUUUCUUUCUCAAAGAUAUCACUUCUGUUUUCCAUUCAUCCUUCUUCUUUUUGUUUAAGAAUUUCUUAAAGGUUGUCUUCUAGGCACAGUUGAGCGCACGAAUGUUGAGACUUCGCAACAAAAGUUUUAAAAGAUGAUAAAUUGUGAGUUGUGAAUUAAAAUUAUUCAAUUGUUUGACAUAUUUAGUCAAUCUGAAUGACUAACUAUAGAACAAUUAAACACAAAUGGAAUGAUAUAGAGUACUCAUAUUUAAGUAAUGUGAUAGCGAAUAUUAAUAAAUAAUUCGAGUUUCAACACAACAAUGUAGAUGCCAAUACCAAUAUACACAUUGAUAAGAGUGGAAAUUGUUCAAGGAGAAGAUAGUUAGGACCAGGUAGAUGAGGUAACCCAACUCCUUAAGUGCCUACUUAACUGGAUUGUUUUUUGUGUAUAUAUUAUCCCAACAUUCUUUCAUUGUUGUUUUGAUUAUCUUUCUUCUUUUCUUCAGACAUUCUAACUUGAUUUGAGUAGAUUUUUGCGGUUGAAGAUGGUGGUGAAUGAAUAGAUCUUAAUUUUGUCUUUAAUGUCAUUGGUUGCAUAAACUCAACUUUUUUUUUUUUUGAUCUACACCUUAACAUAAUUCAAAGACUUCACAAAUCUAAAUUCUACAAACUCUAGCUUAUUACAACUACGAGUUUAAUAUCCCUUGCUCAUGCUAUUGGUGAUUUUAUUAUUGGGUUUUUUGGGAUGAAAAUUGAUAUUUUUUAUCUAGGAUGUUUCUCUUGGAAAUAGGGAAAGUUGUAAGAGUUUUUCAUAAUCACUGUUAUAAAUUCACAGACCUGAGUUUAUGGCUUUAGAAGAGUAUGAAGAGGCGUAGAACAAAUUAGUCGAUAUAUACUCAUUUGGAAUGUGCAUUCUGGAAAUGAUAACUUUUGAAUAUCCGUACAAUGAAUGCCCACAUCCCACUCAAAUAUAUAAGAAAGUCAUAUCUAUUAGAAGAUUUCUCACUGUUUAUAUGUUUCUUGUGUGUACGUAUGCUCAAUAUUAAGUAACAUUUAACACUCUUUUCCCAUUUUUUUUUUUUUCUGAAUUAAGAAAGUGUCUAGAUUGUCAUUUCUUUUCAUAUAUGAUUAAUCGACAUGCAAAAGCUAUUGGAUAAUAUUUUAGAAACUACUCUAGAGUUGGUGGAACAUUCCAAUUAUGUUCCUUGUUAUGAUGAUUCUAGUGGGGGUUUGGUGUAGAGAUUUGGAUUCAAUGAACAAUAUUGUGUACGUCUAUAUCUAAUUCUAUGAAGUGAGUCAUUGGUCACAGUCAUUGCAUGCGAGACAUUAUGUCUCUCAUCAUCACGUAAUUACCAAGUCCUCGUUGAGUAUAAGCUUUCCUAUUCCUUGCCUAAGUAUAAGCGAAACAAUAGGUUCCUGGAUAAUCCAAGGUCGAACACAGGAAACUGAUAUCAAAACUUAGUUCUAAAGCUCACUCAUCAUCUAGGUAGUAUAAAAUUUCUAUCUAUACAAUAAAAAGUGUAAGUUUAAACUAUAUCUACCAUCUACACUAGAGAGUCUACAAAAAGGAAGAAUAAUAAUGGAGGCGAGAUGGAAGUGUAAACUAACUUGUGUUAAGAAAGAGUGUAGGAAGGUUUAUGCGUUACUAGGCGAUUAAGCCAUGCAACAACCUUAAUGCGAUAAAACUUAGUUAACUAGCUUAUGAUUAAUGUGAGCACCUCUCAGUACCUUAAACAUCACACUUGCUUGCCUCUCAUGAUGUAAAUGAUAAAACUUGAGAUAUAUCUAAAGGGUUUACUUACAAGACUUACAAGACUUAUAACACUUCUCUUUUAAGGGUGACAAUCUCUCGGCACCAAAUACUCACACUUGUUAUCCUUUUGGGACAUAAAUGAUGGAAGUUAUCUCGUAAAGGUGGAGUUUGUCUCUAAACUCCUCCUUUUGUGCAUUAGCCAUAUUCAUGCUAACACAAUAAGCUUUAUAAAUUAAGCUUCUUAUCAAGAACUUAUCACAUACAUAAACUAUACAAAAUACAUUGACAAAUGAACAAUAAAGGAAUGUUGGAUUGAAAAUGUAUAAACAUGCAAUAUAUUAAAGAAUGCAUGCCUUAGGCCUUUGUACAAUAUGAGCAUAUACAUUGCAAAGAAUAAUACAAACGAAAAGUAAAAGAAAUGACUUUACAAGUUAGAAGAAAGAAAGAAUGAAAUCUUCUCUACUUUGACUCUAAGCUUUUACUUACAGGCUGACUGGAGAAGAAGAAGAAAUGCUUUUACAGACGAUGGAAAGUCUAUUCCUUUCCGCUCAUCUCUAGGGUUUGGUCCAUUUAGGCUCUCCUUGUCUUGGUAAAGGUGGAGUCCUUUUAAAAGCAACUUUCGGCAGAAAAAUUCUAUCCUUUUGAACAUGUCAGUACCAAUUGCAGUCUUGUCAAGUCACAUCAACUUCAAUUACCAUUCUUGUCUUCUAGUGAACCUUCCUUGCCUAGAAAUUGUACUUGCCAAAUAGGUUCUUCUCACAUAGCCUUCGCACGAGUUCCUCUACGAUUCAAUAGUUUCUUAUUUUGUUCCCUAAUCACGCGUUAAAACACUAAAAACAAGGUAAAACACGCAUGAAGACUUAUGUAAAAUAUAUUUCCAAAUAGUUAUGAAUUUACAAUAAAAGCUAUGCGUUUUGACACACUUACUAUGCGUUUUUGUUCCAUUAUUUUACCUAAAAGGAUAUAGUAACUUAUAUUUUUAUAAGUUAUCAGUGUUAUGUUUGAUCACAUGGGUAAUUACUUUAACUACGCCUUCUUAUUUGAAGAUGCUAGAAGACAGACUUAGUGAUAUUUUGAUGCUUAUACUUAACGACUCUUUAUAUUAGAUAUCUUAAAGCUUAAAUGAAUAUGAACUAUUAUAAGUGAAUCUUUGGAAACAAGUUUCAACUUCCGAAAGGGUACUUCUAUCUACCCUGUCCUUCAUGUUUUCCAACUUAAAUGUGUCUUGAGUGUUUGGGGCAACGUUACAAUGUGCAAUGAGAUAUUGUUUAAUUAUUAGUAUUUACUUAUAGUUAUAUGUUUUGUAAAUGAUAUCUUCCUUCCAUAUUUCUGCUUAUAACUUGACAGUUAGAUUGUUUUAAUUCUAGAAUUUUAAUACUUGUGUUGGUUGUUUGAGAUAUAUGAUUCUAUGUCUUCCAUGGUUUGGUAGUUUGUAUAAAUUAAAUAUAAGUUUUAUACUUUGUUUAAUUUCUUUUUGAUAUGUUUAAUUUUUUUUUUAUUUAUCUAUUAUUUUAUGUACUUAAGUGAGUAUAUCUUCCUUGGAGAUACUUUUGGGACACCAACUUUAUAAUCCUUCGUAAUAGACAACUCCCUCGUUUGCUAGAUUUUGAAAGCUUUGUAUAUAUAUAUAUUAAUAAAUGUAAUUUGUCAAUAGCUUACUUAGUUAAACGAUUUGUCACUUUCUUGGUUGUGAAUGAGAUAAUUUUUGAGUUUGUUGAGAGUUGUGUUGUAUGCAAUAGAAGAGAUAUUAUUGUUUCUUGAAAAGAAAAGAAAGAUUAUUGAUUUGCACAUUACUUUUUUUUAUAUCAAUUUUUAAGUAUUUGAUCGUCAUUUAAAAUGGAUUGGACAAUGUUGUAAUUAUUGAAUAAAUUUGGUAAUAAACUGACACAGAAGACAUUGAAAUGGUCUACAAUGUUAGUUUUCAAAUGACAUUGUUGGGAAUCUAUAAUGGCAGUUUAAAACAGACAUCAAAGCAAAACUAACGUUAAAAAGCUUUAAUAACACGUUCAUAGAUGUCGGUCAAGAACUGACAUUGUACCUUUAUCAUGUUAUUUUAAACCAACAUUGUUGAUGUCUUAUAUGUCGAUUUUGAACUGACAUCAAAGCACAACUAACAUUAAAGGGCUUUAAUAUUAUGAUUAUAGAUGUUGGUUGGCAACUGACAUCGUACCUCUACAAUGUCAGUUUUAAACCGACAUUAAAGUUCAGUUUUGUUGUAACUGAUAACGUGUAGUAAUGACUGUUAGUAUAGCUAUUUUUAUUAGAAUAUUAAAACACAUAAGAAGUUGACCAGAACAUGUGACUUGUAUUGUAAACGCACAAGUAUUUAGAAAUAUAGCUUGCAUAAGUGAUAUUCUUGUUUUACGCGGUUAUCAUGUUUAAACGCAGGAUAAGUGAGAAGAAAAUAAAUGAGCAAAUCAUAUAAAACAUAUCACGCAAAGGCUACACAAUGGGAACUAGCUUGGCGAAUAACAACCCCAAGCAAGGAACCAAUACAUCACGCAAGGAAAGUUCACUAGAAGACAAGAAUGCCAGUUGGGAUGAUGUGACCUCACAGGACCAGAUGACAACGAAGACACACUAAGAAAAAUAGAAGUUUCCCAUUGAAAAAUAGCCUAUACAAGCACUUAUUCACCUCCACCGAAAGGAAGGAGGGCCCAAAUAGGCCAAAGAAGGUCUGUAUGGAUCUUGAGAGAGAGCUCGAGUGAGCUACCUGGAGAGUAUGUAGCCGUGAUGAAGAAAAAGACGAUUUAUGUUGAUCUCCUAACUUGUAAUAGCAAUCAACUUUCUCUUCCUCCCAUUUUAUUGUUUUCAUUUAUAUUUUUAUACCUCAUAUUGUACAUAUUGUUUGUGGGUCUAUGCCCUACAUUCUUGGAUAAAUUUAUGUAACAUAGUCGUUCAAUAUGUCAUCCCUCCUCUUCUGGAAGUCAACGUGUUAUUAAUAGCUUGAGUAGGUGAUAAUUCAUGAUAAGAAGAGUCACUUAUAAAUCUUAAAGUGCUAAUCACGCUUUUGUUAUUGCUUGGCCAGCAUAAGUUACUAACUACUCAAGAGGAAAAGUAGCUAGAACCUAAUUAGCACACGUGAAGAGAAACUUUGCCUCUUCGCGAGAGUAUUUCUAAAAUUUGGAUCCCAAAAGGAAGACAAGUGUGGACAGUGGAUAUCGAGAGGUAUCGAUCCUUAAUCAUGAAAUACCUUAAGGUGCAUAAGUGGUUUCUCCUAGAUACAAUUCACCUAGCUGUAUUAUUUGGUCAUAUAGAUCUCUGAAAAGCAGUCAUGUGUGGCAUAUAUGCCUUCGAGAGAAGCAUGCCUUAAUUACAAGUAUGUCUUAGGAAGUUAGAUCGCAUCAAAGUUAUCUCUCUACUCACUCGAAGGAUAACAUGCAGACAUUUCUGCAUUCAUUCCUUUAAUACAAGUUAGACGCGUUAUAGUCUUUCUCUUCAAGUCGCCUUAGAGACUCUUGCUUUGUAAUGAAGAGUAGAUCCUAAAACCAACGUUUGAAAACAAUUAACUGUGUUUGACCUUGGAUCACCCAGGUAAAUCUAUUGUUUCGCUUGCAUUUGGACAAGCGGUAGGAAAAAUUGUACUCAAUGAGGACUUAGGAAUUACACGAUGAAGAGGUACAUUGUGAGCAUUUCACAUGUUAUGAUCAUGCCCUAUGACUCAUCGCCUAGAAUGGAAACAUGCGAUACAGAGAGUUAAGAUGAGCGCAUUACACGCCAUGACUUGACUCCAUGACGUAUUGCAAUUGUAUUGUACACGCAUGAACUUAUUAAGUCCAAAAUAGUCCCAACCAGUAAUGUAUAGCUUAAAAGAAUCUUAUCAAAAAUGUUGAUGAAAUAGGAGAUUUAAACAUUAAACAUAAGAACAAAUCGUUUAAUAAUAGAUGAAAGAAAAUGUGGAAGAGGAGAUGAAGAAAUCAGAAAGACGAAUAAUAAAGAGAAGUGACAAAUUGUAUGCAAUAUUCAAGGCACACUACUAGAAAAAUGAGUUUUAAUGACACUGCUAAUCAAGACAUUGUGUCGUUGAAAAUAAAAAUAGGGUGGGGUGAGGUAAAUUGUGUUGUGAAAAAUAAAAAUAUGGAUUAUUUCUUGACACAAUUUUUGCAUUGUUAAUUAACGAUAAAUUUUUUUGUGUCAUUAAUUUCCAAAGUAAAAAAUUUCUAAAUGAAAAAAUCCCAAUUUUUUUUUGAAUUUCCCUUCCUCACGCAAUUAAAACUAAAUAAAAACCUCAAAUUUUCACUCAAGCAAAAAUGCUGCCGUCGAACAAAGCCUUAAUGCAAUUUUUUUUUCUCUCCUUACCAAAAACACAAAAAAUUCUUGUCGAAUGAAGUGGGCUACUGCGUUGUUGUGACGAACCUUUGCCUUCCAAUUUUCUGCCACCCGUCGCCGUCGAUUCCACACUCCAGCCACUAUCGUCAUUGCCACCACAAUAAGCCUUCACCAUCAAACCCACCAAUCUAGCCACUGCCGUCGAAUAAAUUUAUAGAAAUAUGAGUUUUAAUGACACUUGAAAUCAAGAAAAAAGGGUGGAAGGGAAUAAAAUGUGUCGUUAUGAAUAAAAAUGCAAAUUUUUUCGUGACACAAUUUUUUCGUCGUUAAAUAACGAAAUAAAUUACGUGCCAUUAAAAAUUAUCCUAAUAAAUAAUCAACGUUUUUCUUCAUUCGUACGCUUUCUGAUUUUAAAAAAAUAAUUUGACGCUUUCAUCCUUCUUGCGAACAACGAUUGAAAAAAACCCUUACUUCAUCCCACGUCGUCGCUGUCUUUUCUCUUUCACAAACGCUCUCCAGUGUCAUUUUUCUCUCUCUCGCAAACGCUUUUCACAAAUUUUCCUCUCUCAAAAGCUCUCUACCCGUCUUUUGAAGCAGCUCAGCAAAUUUGCAGGUAAUUGGAAAAUUCGUGGAGCAUGAGAUCGAUCAAGUCCAUUUAUGAGUAAGUUUGAUUAUAUUAGGUCUUGUAUAUAUGUAUUACAAUUAAUUUAUCUUUUGGAUUAUUGAAAAACCAUUAUGGACAAUGUAAUUUACAUUUCUCUUAUUAUUAAUAAAAAAUCUUUCUAAACAUACGUGGGUUAGUUGAAUCAUGUACUUAAUUUAUAUAUAUCUAUCAUUUAUAUGUCUAAAAAAUAUUUGUUGUCACUUGAAAAAUAACAAUGUCAAAGAAGUGUCGACAUAUAAGUCUUUAUUAAAUAGAAACAAUGUUGUAACCAUCAUGAGUUGACUUAGUGGUAAAAAGUUUAAAAAAUUAACUAAGAGGUCAUGAAUUCAAUCCAUGGUGGCCAACCAACAUUGAAAUUAAUUUCUUACGAGUUUCCUUGACACCCGACCCUGUAGAAUCUGACAGAUUGAAGAUUCUCCUAUUCAUAAUUUUGGUUUAAUAAAAACACAAACCCUAUCGAUACUCAUAAAUAUACACGUGUUAGUUGAGUUAAGUUCUAAUCUGAAAAUUUAAUUAAACUAAUUUUAAGUUAGGUUUGGGUAUGGAAUUAUUUCUGUUAUUGCAUAAAUUCAUUGAAUCUCCAACAAAAAAAGUUCAAUUGCUUUUAUUUUGAUUUUAGAGAAAAUGAAAAAUACAAGAACAAAUUAUAUACCAUAAAUGAAGUAAGUUUGUUGUUUGAUAUAAGAAAACUAUAACAAAAAAAAAAAAAAACUUAUCUUAACUAACAGUGGUAUGUAAUUUUCAAAUACUUUUUACCUAAUUUAUACUAAAAAAUGUAAAACCAUAUCUACUUUUGUGCUCCAUUAUAUACCCAAGAAUACAUAAAUAAAUUUGGAUCUCAACUUUUUUAAGUGAUAAAAAGCAAUGAAAAGUAAAAACCUCUUUUCUUUCUUAGUCAAAAUGUAUAUGGUCAAAGCAUCAUAUUCCCAUGAAAGUAGCCCUCCUUAUAAUAUUCAUUAUAACUUUUGUUGUUGUUUCUUGCCUAAAAUAAUUCACUUUUAAAAAAUAAAUUAAAAUAUUUACGAGCUAUAACAAAUUUUUGGAUUCUAUCAACGAUAAAAAAUGGAUAGACUUUUAUUGUUGUCUAUCAAUGCCACUAAUAGAAGCAUACCGGUGUCUAUGUAUUUAUUAUUGAUAGAUUUUGAAAAUUUUAUUAAUAUUUAUAAAUAUUUUGUCAAAUUUGUUAUUUUUGAAAAUUUUCCUUAAAAAUAUUUACUAAAACUUUUAUUAAUGAUAGACAGUGACAAACUUUUAUAAGUGUCUAUCAGUAUCACUCAUAGACUUUUAUCAAAUGUCUAUGUAAGUUUUUGCUAUAUUUUAUAAUAUUUUAGUUCAUUUUGUUAUAUUUAAAAAUAUUUUUUUAAUAACUAGACAUAUAUUAUUUACAUAAAUGAAUUUUGCAUAAAUGUUUGAUAAACUACUAAUACACCAAUGUCAUAUUAACAUUACAUUAUUGAUGAUCUUUUUAAAAUUUAUUUUAAAUUAAGACUAAUAUAUUAUUGAAUUAUUUAUAUUAUAUUUUAAAUAUACUAUUUUAUCAUGAUUUUAGAGUAAAAUGAACUGUAAUAUUUACAAACAUAGACUAAAAUUGCAUGAAAUAAAAAGAAAUCCAAACGGGGCAUUCAUUUUUCUUACACGUGGGUAAAUCCAAACCCGGCAUGCUUUUAUAAUAGUUUGAAGGAUUUGUCUUUGGAUUCCUCCACUUUAAUAAAUGUAAUUUUGGGGAGAAAGAAGUAAAAGUGGAAAAAGAUAAAACUUUCCACCAUCCGUUUGUUUUAUUCUGUUGAGACGAUGUGAACUUUUAUUUAUAAGACUUCUUUUGGGGAACUGUGAGAACAAUUCAAUAGUAAUUAAUUUUCAUAAAUAUAAGAAAAUCUAAAUAUUUUCUACUUGUCUAACAAAAUAGAAAAGUGUAACCAUUUUAUUUUAAAUAUUUCAAGUUUGUUUUUCAUUUCUUUUUAUUUUCUAUAAUUUUUCAUUUUUUUCAUCGUUUUUCUUAUCUUCUUUUUAUGCAGUUUUUUCUAUACAUAUAUUUUUUGAAAUCAUGAUCUUUGUUUUCAAUGAAUCAUAAAUCGUGUAUUUUUCUUCAAAGUGUUAUUUGGUUCAAGAUCGUGUACCAAAUAUAAAAUAUCAAUAUACGAUCUUGAUUGUUUUGGCUACAACCAAAUCUAACAAAUAUAAAAGAUAAAAAAAAAAUCAUUGGAUAUUGCUACACGAUUAUUUAGAUUUGGAUAUAUAAAUCUAAACAAUCGUGUAGUCAAAUCUAAACGAUAGUGAAGAAAAGAAUCUUAAAAAAAUUGUUUGAUAUUGGUACAAUCGUUUAGAUUUGGGUAGCCAAAUCCAAACGAUAGUGUAGCUAAAUCUAAACGAUCGUAUACCAAAUAUAAAAGAAUCUUCAUGUACCAAAUAUAAAUUUUUUAGAUUGAGAUAUUGAUACACGAUCGCUUAGAUAAUUUAGCUACGAAAUCAUUUAUCAAAUAUAUUACCCAUGCAAGUGGUUAAUUAAUCGUGUGUUGACUGGGGUAUUUUUCAUUGUGAGUCUGUGAGUUUUUUUCGUUUUUGAAAGUGUUCUAUAAGUAUAAAUAUUUUAGUGAUUGUUGUUAUAUUUUUGAAAAAACCCAUAGAAAUUACUUCAAUAAUAUUUUUGUUUGUUGAUAGAAGUUCAUACAUUGAUUAACACUGCUCUUGGCUAAAAUAUAUAAAAUUCAUAAAGUUUUUUUUGUUGAUUGUGUUCUAUUAACUUUAUAUCGAUAAUUGAUAUUAAUAGAACUCUUUCAUUGAUCGGCCAUGGUAGUAUUUUAUUGUUGCUUAUCAAUAAUAGAUAUGGAUAUAAAUCUAUCACUCUUUAUAUCAAUAGCUUCUAUCAAUAUCAGUGAUAGACAUUGGUAAGGAAUAAUAUUGUUUAAUCAAUUUCUAUCAAUAAUAAAGAUAAGGUAGUUUGAUUGUGUGUGUGCAUGAUAGUAUUCUAUUGUCGCUUAUCAAUAAUAGAUACUGAUAGAAAUCUAUCACUGAUAUACAAUUAUAGUAUUCUAUCAUUGUAUAUCAAUGAUAAACACUAAAAGGUAGUGAUAGUGUUUUAUCCUUAUCUAUAUCUCUAAUCUAUACUAUAUAAAAGAGGCUAAGGGGGAGAAAAGUUUUAUUUUUCUCCUUUUAGCCCUUUUAGUGACUGAUUAUUGGGUUAUAUUGUCACAUCCCAUCUCAAGCAACUGCUUAAUUGGCCCGGGAUGUGGUAUGAUGUCAGCUAAAGCCAUUCACCUCCGGAACAACUUCAACUGACUCUUAACAUGAAUACAUGAAACAUUUGCUAGCGAAAGUCUUAAAACUUUAAAAUACUUUAAAACCGUAGUGUAACCUAUAUGAAAUACCUUUUAUAAAUGUGUAAAAUAUAUCAAACAUAAAAGUAUAAACUCUUGAAUAAAUACAGUAAUGUUUUAAGCAAAACAAUUCCUUUUAUGAUUUAAAAUUAAGUUGGCCUGACAACAAUAAGUUCAACACGAGGAGAUUCACAGUCUGUACCUAGAAAGAGAAAAAACAUUUUGAAAGAGUAAGUCUAAAGACUUAGUGAGCAAUGAUUUUAUAAAACAAGUUUUCAUAAAACAUUUUAAUAUAAAAUUGAAGCUUUAAAUACAUUUGUCAAUAAACAGUCAUUUGAUAACAUGAUACUAGAAACAUUUGCGUAGCUUUUGUAAGACAAUGUUCCGUAGUCACAGGAAAAUUAAGCCUCCUUGAUCUAUAAAAAUUAAUAUUUUAUCAAUUAAUCCAUUGAACAUGAAAAUAUCCAAAACUUCCCUUAAAUUUUUCAAAAAUUUCAUAACAGCUCAAAACAGUCCAACGGUGAUCACUAACAUAAGGGAUGGGCCUGACCGCAAGCGUAGGACUUGAGGCCUUGCCUCAUGCGUGCUAACCUCAUAAGGGUGAUCACUAACAUAAGGGUGGGCCGCAAACUGCGUGCUAACCUCAUAGAGAGGGAUGUUGCCACGUCCUUGUCGCCUACCUAGCACGCCCAUUGUGUGCCUUAAGCGCGUUAUGCUUCCCGCACACCCUGCGCGCUAACCUCACAACGCAAGGUCAUGCGCGCAACUUGAGCACAUACCUUGCCACUCAGCUCUGCCAUGACCUUCUCACAAAGCUCAAAACCCCACGCCCAUCUCGCCUAGCAUGCAUGAUACUGACCUACUGUCUAGAACUUUAUUUUUCGUCUAGAAAACAUAACCCGACUUUCAAAUUCAUAACAUAAAAUACAUAACUCUUUUGAUAAAACUUCCUUCUACAAAGGUGUUCUAAAAUGUCUUAAAUUUCUUAUCUCAAAAUAUUAGAGCAAAAAUAAAAAAGGCGAGUUCUAUAGCCCUCUGGGAAUGCACCUUGCUCAGAUUCUUCUUGAAAAUGACCUCAUCGCUUUCUUUGAAUCAAAACACAAACUUUCUCGCAUCCAACUUGAGCAAAAGCCCUAUAAAACUAGACAUAAUUUCUAAGCUUUAAGACUAAUUUGAGUGAAUUAACACGUGUGAAUUGUAUGAAAUCCUUUGUUGAAGUUGCGUAUUUAUAGGAAGCCUUGCAUGAAAAUAUGUUGACAUCUCAUUGUUGAUUAAACUCACCUCUUAAGCUCCAAAUUACACCUUGAUAAAAAAAUGUGUAUGUAGUAUGAUUAAGACACGUGUAUUAGUCCUUAAACCAAUUGUCUUAAAACAUGCCACAUUAUUGUCCUAAUGCAUAGCCUUGGCCGUCUAGCCUUCUCGCCUACUAACCUCUAUAGCCUUCUCGCAUGGCCUUGUUUAGUGUGGUCUUGCCGUCCAAUGAAAAGCCCUAAACGAAUGCUAACCUCUAAACUCAUUUUGCAUGAUAUGCUCCUCUCCUAGCCCAUCAACGCCGUAAAUAACCUCAAAUAAAUCUUCUUGUGUGCCAUGCUUCUCACCCAUACUAACCUCACAAGCCUUCUUGCCAAGUCAAAAUACCUUGUGGGAAGCUCUUGCUAACCUCCCAAGUCAUCUUGCCUAACAUAAAUCCAAGUCUUUGUUCGCCUAUUAGAUCUUACCUAGAGGUUAUCUAAUGUCCUUGGUCGCCUAAUGCUUUAUUCAAAAUAACCUCUAAACGACUAAUGUGCCUUUCUUUGACACUUAGCCAAAAAUUUUCAACUUUUCUCUUUCUCUUAACCUAGCUAAACCUUAAUUCUUAGUCUUUCCAAGUGAUUUUACUUUCCCUUUCUCUUGUCCUAACCAAAAUUUGAUAAGUUCCAAAGGUUUUUUUUUUUUUUUUUGGGUUUCAUAUGUAUCACUAGAAGAGAAAAGUUUUCCCAAUACACCAAAUGCUUGUUGAGAGAGGGGGCAAGGAGAAAGGGUAUCUUUCGACAAGCUUAAAAGCAUGCGUCAGGAGUAAGCCAUAACUCCCAAUGCCGUAUAAAUCAUCAAAAGUUAGUUAGGAAAAAAUGAUUUAAAGAGAUAACUCUCGACGUUGUUAAGAAGAACAUUUAGAGUUAGCUAAUAACUUCCGACUAAUUAAUUACACACCAAAUUUUCAAAGAGAGCUUUCGAUGCUCUUCAUAAGACAUUGAUAACUUGUUGAAAUACAAGUUAUUGUGUUCUUUUAGGUAAAAAAAAAUGGAGUCAAAAUGCAUGAUAAAGAACCAAAAUGCAUAAUUUUUAGUGCAAAUUUAUAAUGUUAAGAGAAUGCACUUUACAUAAGUCAACAUGCUUGAUUAAUUAACUCCUCAACAUAAUGGAGUAGUUGAACUAAAAAAAUAGAACUGUGUAAGAAAUGACCAGAGUUAUGUUGCAGGCAAAGAGAAUUCCUUUAUAGUUUUGGACAGAAGCUCUUAAUAUAGCUUGCCAUAUGCAUAACAAAAUUGCCUUGUGAUUAGGAACUUCAUGUACUAUUUAUCAACUAUGAAAGGAAGAAAACCUACUGUAAGAUAUUUUCAUAUUUUUGGUAGUACUUGUUACAUUCUUGUCGAUUGUGAGUAUCACAAAAAAUGGGAUACUAAAUCUGAUAAAGGAAUAUUUCUGGGCUAUUCUUAACAAUAGAGCAUGCCAUCUCUUUAACAAAAGAACCCAAACAGGUAAAGAAACUAUCAAUGUCGUUAUAAAUGACAAUGAAAAAAUUCUCGUAGACGACCAUACGAUGACAAAAUCUUCUAUGACAAUCUAACUCAAAAGAAUAAAGAAGUUCCUUUAGAUGUUCCUAAAAACAAUAACAUCAGUAAAGACAAAUAAUUCACAACCUACUACCAGUUCAAUAGAAACCCUAGAAACGUUAUAAGGAAAUGCUCAUUCCACCCUAUUCAAAAGAAUCAUCCCUAAAAAAAGAAAGAAAGACAAUUGAUUAUGCCAAAUUAAUUACUAACAUUUGCUAUACAUCUCAUAACAAACCAAUUUCUAUGAAUGAAUUAUAUUCUUUAUAAAUGUCAUGCAAGAAGAACUUAUACAAUUCAAGAGAAAUAAUGUUUAAAAUCUACUCCCAAAACUAGAAUGAAAAAACAUUAUUGGGACAAAAUGAGUUUUUAAAAUUAAAACAGAUGAAAGCGGUUCAAUAACAAAAGAUAAAACAAGACUUGUAGCUCAAGGUUACUCCAAAACUGAAGCCAUUGAUUUUAAAGGAAUCUUUUCUCUAAUAGCUAGAUUCGAACCCAUUCGCUUACUACUUGACAUAUCUUGUCUACAAAAAUUUAAACUAUAUCAUAUGGAUAUAAAAAGUGUCUUUCUUAGUGUAUACUUAGCCUAAAGGAUUCACAAAGGAUUCACGGAUCUUAAAUAUCCUCAACGUAUCUACAAACUUAACAAAGCUCAAACAAGUUCCUUAGACUUGGUAUAAAUGACUUACUAUCUUCUUGGCACACAAAGGAUAUACUCGAGGAGUAACCGAUAAAACUUUGUUGACAAACAAAUCUUAUAAAAACUUUAUUGUUGCCCAAAUCUACGUUGAUGACAUAACUUUUGUUGAAUUUCUUGAAACAAUGGUAAAUAAUUUUAUUGAUCACAUGCAAUCUGAAUUUGUGAUGAGCAUGAUUGAGAGUUAACAUUCUUUCUUGGUCUUCAAAUAAGGUAUAAUGUAGAUUCAAAGACAUAAAUGUCUGUAAGAUUUCUCAUGCUUAAUCCAGAUUUAAUUAGUACUCUAGCUUGGAUGUAUUUAACUUUUUGUUCCAAUGUAUGAGUAUUUUCAAAUCUCAAUUAAAUUUGAGUUUUGGUCUCCUACUGCAUAAGGGUUUUUGUCCUUUUAGUUAUCUAAUUAUUGAUUAAAAAUAACUAAAAAAACUAGUAAUGUCUUUUAUUAAUUUUUUAUGAAAAUUUUUCUUUAAAAUAAAUGAGACAUUUUUUAAAAAAUAAACUAGCGGUUAAUCAUCUGAGGAGAGACAUGAGAAGAGUAAGAAUGAGGAAAGAGAGAAAUUUUUUUAAGAGCCAUUUGCACACAAAAUAUAUUAAAAGGAAAAUUGAGUCUAUGACCCAACAUUUUAAAAGGGAUAGUGACAAAUUUAGCAAUUAAAUUCAAAUUAAUUAAGUAUAUAGCACAAUUUUAAAAAAUUUGUAAUUAUAGCAAAAUUUGUCAAAUUCUAUCAGUGAUAUAAGUCUAUCACUGAUAGAUCAUGUUGUAAAUAUUGGUCUAUCACUGAUAUACCAUAUGAAGUCUAUCAACGAUACAAGUCUAUCAGUGAUAGUUUUACUAUAUUUGCAAUUUUUUUAAAAUAUUGCUAUAUCCUUAAUUAUUAUUGCUAAAAUAGUCAUCAAUUGCAAUUUCCCUAGUUAAAAAUGUAAAACUACAUUUGAUUACCAUAUGAUUGUUAUCAAAUUGUCAUCUGAUUACCACUAAUUAUCAAUGAUAUCGAUUGUUGUUUGAUUGUUAUUUGAUUACUAUAUGAUUGUUAUUUGAUAUUCAUUGUUAUCUCAUAUUUAAUGAUACCGAUUUACCAUCUCGUUGUUAUUUAAUUGCAAAUGAUAUCUUUUUUUAUAUAUAAUUACUAAAUAGAAUUAGACAAUCAUCUUAUUACCUUCAAGUUUUUGUCAACUAUCAAGUAGUUAUUGACUAUCAUCAUAUUGUCAUAUGAUUAACUUCCUUUUUUUUUUGUCAAUUGUCAGUAUGAUUUUUUUUUUUUUUUUUUUUGCAUUAUGAUUGUGUAAGACUGAUAACUUGUAGAGAUGCAAGUUAUUAUAGUCUUUUGGAUAGAAUAAUGAGACCAAAAUGGAUAAGGAGUGUAUCAAAACAUGUUACUUAUGUAGUAAAUUCAUAAAUAUUUAGAAAAUACACUUUACAUAAGCAUCAUGCCUAUACCCGAUUUAUAGUAUCUAAACACAGGCUAAAGAACAAAAGAAUAAGCUAGCGAAUGACAGAGGAACUCGUGCGAAGAUUAGGAGAAAAGACCACAUCAGAACGCAUAAAGAAGUUCACUAAAAGCCAAAAGUGGUAGAUGGAGUUGAUGUGACUUAACAACAAAGGCAGUGAUAACAUGCAUAAAUACGUAUUAUUACAACCUCUUUUAUUAGAAUAAUGAGGUCAAAACACAUGAGAAGAUGACCAAGAGGUGUAACUUACAUUGUAAAUGUUGGGAUUUAUGUUUUAAAACUCAUAGAUUGUAAAUAUAAUCCAUUGACCGUUGUUAAUAAAGUGUUAUUAUUGUAAUACUUGUUAUUGAUUAUAUUAUUAGUUUUGUCUUAAUAACCCAAAUCCAAUAAACUAACGUCCUAAGCUUUUUUAUGAGACUUGAACAGUUUGUAGAGACAUACAUGAAUCAAUGUUCGAGAUAAACUUAAAGGGUCUAUAGUAUAGAGAUAAGGCUGGGUAUCUUACCCUGGUAACACUAUGGAUACAUCUGACUUUAUAUUUGAUACAAACACAAUGAUCCAACGUGUUCAUGUAGUUGAUAUGCGAGUGAGAGUAUCCUAUGCAAUGAGUUUGCAUUAGAUCGGACCGCGAAAUAGUAACCACUAGAUGUAACUCCGUUAAUUAGGUAGAUUUCUAUUUUAUUGGUUGUAAUUUGAAAUGUUCAAAAUUACUUUGGGAAUUAGUUUAAUGUAUAGUGAUACAUUAUAAUAUAAAGUUUAUCAAACUUUAUUGUAUAAAUUUAAUUUUGAAUAUGAUUCAAAAUUAGUUUAUGAGAGAUAAAAUAUUUGAAUGAGUUCAAAUAUUAAUUUAACGUGAAUUAAAUUCAUAUUAAAAUUAUUGGAGAAAUAAUUAAUAGUUUAGUUUUAUUUUAUAUAAUUAAAUUUGAUUUUUAUUAAAUUAAUAUAAAACUAUAAUAUAUUGGAGAGAUAUUCAUUAAAUAUUUAAAUAAAAUAUUAAUUAAAUAUGAUUUAAUUAAUUAUCAACUAAUUAAUUAAUAGAUUUAAGAUUUCUAUUAAUUUUCUAAAUUAGUAGAAUCUCAUAUUUCUCUCUUACUCCAUUUCCUACUCCAAGAAGGAAAGAAAAUUAUAAAUAUGUAGAAGAAAACGAUUUUCUUUAAUCAUUUAAUCAAGAAAAAAAAAUCAAUGCUUUUGGUAUUUGCCAAAAGAAAAUAGUCUCUCUAGACAUUUUUUCCAUCUCAAUUGGUUCCCACAAAUCAAUCUCAUUCUAAAGGAUAGGAAGGUCUACGACGGGUGGUGUCCCAAUUUGGAGAUGUAUUUUGUAGAUCCAGAGAUAUAAACAAAUAAGUUUUUCUUUAUCUAAUCUAUAAUUAGAAAACAUGCUUAGUCUUUUAAGUCUAGUUUCUUAAUUUUUUUUUGUCAAUAUACUGAUAUUUUGGGAUUUUCAAAUUAAUUUGAGGAAUUAUUCUGUAAAAUUUUUUGCUGCCAUAGGGCUUUUAUCCCUUUAAUUGGUAUCAGAGCCAUCUCAAAUUUUAAUUUUCCAAUUCAUUUGAUUAAAGUUUUAAUUGGAAAAUUAAACUUUACAAUGGUUAGGUGAGAUUUUUUUUUUUAUUAUGAAAAGUUGUUUGCAAGAUAAAUGUUUUCGAUUUUGAUAUCUUAGAUUAAAGUUUUUCGUUAAUUUGAUUGAUGCAAGGGUAUGUUGUUUUGGACAUUUUAAUUAUGUAAUCGAGUUUGUAAGCUUGUGUCGUUUGAUGACAAGAGUUGCAACAAUGUUUGUUUAUGAAAAAAAAGGAAAAUCGAGAAAAAGAAAUAUAUCUUUUGCGCAUCUUUGUUAUAUUAUAUUUUUGUUUUUGGUGUAGUGGAAUUUCAUUCACCAUUCAUGCAUAAGGUUUUUAGUUCAAAUCUUGAGAUUGAAGUUUUUUUUUCUUCAGUUAUUUUAUUUUAAUUAAUUAAAUUUUUUUAGUUAUUUUAUUUUAAUAAAUUAAAUUAAUAUAAUAUAAUUAUAUUAAAUGACAUUUUUAAAAAUAGCAAAAUAAAUUAAAAUAUUUACAAGUUAUAGCAAAAUUUUGGAUUCUAUCAAUAGUUGUCUUCUAUUACUAUAACAUGUGAAUGACUAUUAAUGAUAGACUUUACUAUAGAUUGUAAGUAUUUUGUAAAAUUUGCUAUUUUUUAGAAUCUUCCUCGUAGUAAUUUGAUUUUUUUGGGUGCUAAGUUCAGUUUAUUUUGUUAUUUAUUCUAUUAUUUUAUAUGAUGUUUAAUUAAUUAUAAGCAUAAUUUAUGGCAUAUAAUUUAAAAUUCCACCGUAAAAUUAUAACUAUCAUGCGUAAUUCUUAAAUAUAAGUGUUAUAUUUUAGUUGUAUGAUUUUCUAAGUAUGUUCAUGCAUUUUUAUAUAUUAUAAAUGUUAUAAUAUAUGAUAUUAAUGCAUGAUUAUGAAUUUCAUGAGUUAUUUAAAGUAUGUUGAAUCUUAAAGGGAAAUUUUUAAAAAUAGCAAAUUUUACAAAAUAUUUACCACAUGUAACAAAUUAUAUUACUGAUAACCUUGAUAUGCUAUAGUGAUAGAAAAAUAUCAUGGAAAAAAUCCAAAAUUUUGCUAUAGCUUGUAAAUAUUUUAAUUUAUUUUGUUAUUUUUAAAAAUGUCCCAUUAAAUAUAUGAAAUAGAAUAAACAUGAUGCAUGACAUUAGUUAGUUAAAUAUAAUUUUUUUGUAUUUAAAUUAAUGUCUUCUGUAUGGUUGAUUGAUUUUAAUGUAUUAAUUUUUUUAAUAUAAAUGUUAUAUUAAUUAAGCUCAAAAUCAAUUUGUAUUGAACAAAUUACAACCUAGAUUAAUAUAAUUGUUAUAUAUAAUGUAAUGUCUUGCAUGCUCCAUGGUUUAUUUCUUAACUAAAAUUUGUUUUAAUUAAUUAAACCUUAGUAUGCAUAUUAUACGACUAAUUACUUAAUUUUAUAAUAGUUAUAACAUUUGAUAAUUAGAAACCGUCAACCUAUAAUAAAGAGUUGCAUGCAAACAUAGGCUCUCAUGAGUAAUUUGAUUUAAUUUUUAAAUUAUUUAAAAUUAAAUAGACGUAAGAUCAUAUUAAUUCAAUUCUAAUAAGAUUAGAAUUAUGUCUUAUUUUAGUUUAAUGAAACUAAUUAGGACAAAUAAGAUUUAAGGUUAUAAGGAAACUCCAUCGGUAAAGUUCUGUCUAAGGCUGGAGGUACUUAAGUUGACAGUUUACGACCUCCUACUUGAGAACUGGGUAGGACCAGACGUUGAAUUAACCUUAUUCCUAUUAAGCAUGAGAUGUUACUAGGUAAAUUAAAUGAUUUAAUACACCUAGAAACUUUAAGUGUAAAUAUGAUUUAAGACUAUAAGAGAAUUCCACUGGUAAAGUUAUGUCAAAGGAUGAGGGUACUUAAGUUGACAGUUUACAGAACACCUACCUGGAAACUGACCCAGAACCGACGUUGAAUUAACCUUAUUCCUAUUAAGCAUGAGAUGCCACUAGGUAAAUUAAAUGGUUUAAUAUACCUAGACACUUUAGAGUAAAGUUUUAUUAUAAGAGUUAUAGUAAGAAUAGACUUAGACAUAUUCAUUUAGCCGAAAUUUAGUGUAACGACUCAACUCCUUAUACUAAGUUGAGGUCAUUAUCACUAAAACAAAUAAAGACUUUUUUAUUUAAAUCAAAGAAAAUACUAAGUUUUAAAAGAAACACUUCAAAUAGUUAUUCAUAAAGUAUAAGUAAAGUAUGUAAAUAAAACAAUAAAUAAAAUAUUAGUUCGUGCCCUAUUUAAAAUAAAAAAAAUAUCUAAAAGUAAUCAUGAGUACUAAAAUAAAUUUAUGAAAAAUUUAAUAUUGAAAACAUAAAUGCAGAAGAAAAGAUAAACUGUCCCCUAUGGAAAACCACAUUGCUUCUUGUCAUUCAUUAGCUUGCCUUUACCUCUACCUUUGCUUGAAAAUUAAACAUAGAAAAGUGAGUAUAAAUUUAUACUGAGGAAGGGACUAACUACUAGUUCCACUACGUGUCAGUUAACUUUCUGUUAGUGUCCAGUAAGAAAGUACCACAUAUCUAUUGUGCUCCCGAACACACACUAUCCAGUGAUCCCGUAGGGACACAUCUGGGCUCUCGUUGAACAUGAAGGAAUCACCCUAAAGGAGAGUCAGGCUAUAAGUGAUUCUGUUAAAUCACACAUAAAAUCUAGCCACACAUGCAUAAAUAAGUGGUGAUCUUGAGGGAGACCCAAAUUGUACGACUUUAACAAGUAAAGCUAAGAGAACAUCAUAGCCUAUACAUAUAGCAUAACCUAAAUAUCAUAUCUCAAUCGUAAUGUAUCUCAACCAUAGUAUAUCUCAAUCAUAACAUAUCAUGGUCAUUACAUAUCUCAAUCAUACAUAACGAUUUUCUAUGUAGCUAUUGUUAUCUAACAUACUUAACAGUCACAUCACAGGCAUCAUAACUAUGUUAAUGCAUACUAAAGGAAAACAUAAUGUAAGGGUCUAAUAGUAGAAUCUCUUACCUGGAGAUUAGCUGAAAAAAUAUAGUUCCUUCUUGACAGUCAAUUUCCAAUUAAUUCAGUCCUAAACAUAAACAAAAUUAAAAUUAUUAAUUUUGUCAACCAUCAACCAACUAUUUAAUUAAGCAUCCAAACUUAUCCAAACUUACCUCAAGACUUAGGUUGAAUCCAACACAACCUUGAAUUGGAUUAUAUUAAACUUAUUGGCUAUGGAAGAAACUUUUAUUUGAAUAUGAUUCAAAUUUAAUUUAAGUUAAAUAUAAUAUAUUUAAUAGCUAUUAAUUAAUUGAAGAAUUAAUUAAUAGUUUAGUUUUAUUUUAUAUAAUUAAAUUAAAUUAAAUUAAUAUAAAACAAUGAGAUAUGGAAGUUAUAUUCAUUAAAUAAGAUUUAAAUGAAAUAUUAAUUAAAUAUGAUUUAAUUAAUUAUUAACUAAUUAAUUAAUGGUUAAUUAAUUAGUAUAUUUGAAAUUUUUAUUAAUUGAAUAUUUUUUAAAUUAAUAGAAUUCCAUGAUUCUAUCAUACUCCAUUUCCUACUCCAAGAAGGAAAGAGAGUUAUAAAAAUGUAGAAGAAAACAAUUUUAUUUAAUCAAUUAAUAAAGAAAAAAAAGUCAUUGCUUUUGGUCUUUGCAAAAAGAAAAUAGUUUCUGUCUAAAUAUUUUUGUCAUUCGAGUUAGUUUACACAAACCAAUUUCAUCCCAGAGGAUAGGAAUGUCUCCGAUGGAUGGUGUCCCAAUUUGAAGAUUUACUUUGUAGAUUUAGAGACAUAAACAAAUAAAUUUUUCUUUCUCUAAUAUAUAAUUGGAAAGCAUGCUUAGCUUUUAAGUCUUUAAUAAGAAAACUAGUUUCUUAAUUUUUUUGUCAAUGCACUGGUAUUUUGGGAUUCCCAAAUUAAUUGGAGAAAUGAUUAUGUAAAAUCUUUCACUGUCAUAGGGCUUUUAUCGCUUGAGUAAAUACAUAAAUAUUUAUAUACUUUACAUAAGCAUUAAGCAUUAUGCCUGUUUUACGUGGUUUUCAUGUCUAAACGCAGAAUUAAUAGAAAUGAAGAAACUAGUGAAGCAGAGACAUUUUGCAGAAGAACUACGCGAUGAGGACUCAUGUGGCGAUUAACGUCUCUAGGCGAGGAACCAUGUCAUCACGCGAGGAAGGCUCACUAGAGAACAAGAAUGGUAGUUGGAGUGAUGUGACCUUAGAGGACCGAAAUUAGUGCUGACAAUCUCAGAGGAGUAGAAGUUUUUCGCCUGAAGCUGUCUAUAAAAGAACACCACCCUCACCAUAAAGAAGGGACGCCUGAAUGGGCAAACCACAUAAAUGGGCGACAUGCUUGUGUGGGCACAAAGAGGUCCUACAUGGACAAAAACCUAGAGAGUUGGUGGCAAGGAUUAGCUUCACCACCAUGUGUACAACACUGUGUUACCUUUUCCAGCCAAAUUGUAACGAGAAAGCUUCAAGUGUGGGAGGAGAAGAGUCCAUCCUCCAUUUCUCUUAACUUGUAUUUCAUUUUCUUCCUCUUUCAAUUUUAUUAUUUCUUUACAAUGUAUUCAUUCAUAUUGUACAUUGACCAAAAACCUUCAUUCUUUAAUACAUUAUAUCUUUAUACCCUCUUUAAUCCAUCCAUGCCUCUAUUGUUCAUCUGUCUUUGUGUUAUUUAUAGUUUAAGUUUAUGAUUUGUUCACAAUAAGUAAUAUUUAUUUGUAUCGCUUAGUGUGUUAAUUGAGCUACAUUUUACAUUUGGUGAGUGUAUGUCGCCAACUACACGAGAGGAUGAGUAGCAAGGAUGUGGCUAACACACGGAAGGAAGAGUUUUCUCUACCUUGCGGAUGCCUUCCUUCAUUUGUAUGUCAAAUGGCAAACAAAUGUGGACAAUAGGCACUGCGAGGUUGCUGUCCUUAAAUGUGAAGCACUCUAAGUAAAAUAAAUAAGUAUUUCAAGAUAUAAAUCAUUUAGUCAAUCUUAGUCAUUUGGAAUUCAAAAGGAGAUCAAGUGUGGCAUUCAAUGACUCUGAGAGGAGCAUGCCUUAAUCAUAAGAUAGCUUGGUGGGUUAUAUUGCAUCAAGGUAGUGAUACAGCUUACUCGCCUGAUAGCUCGAGACCUUCCUUCACCUUUCUCUCGCAUACAAGUUAGUUCGCUCUAUCUUCCAUCUUGCUAUAAUUUAUUCUCUUGUGCAUGAGUCUCUAGGUGUAAGUAAAUAGUCUUAGUUCUUUUUUAAUAUUCUUUUAAAACCAAUAUUGUCAUGAUGCCUAAAUGAUAAGUAGAUCCUAAAACUAAUAUUUGGAACCAAUUUUCUGUCUUCGACCCUGGAUUACCCAGGUAAACCUACUGUUCGCUAGCACUUGGGUGAGCAGUAGGAAAACUUGUACUCAACAAGAACUUAGCUAUUACGCGAUGAAGAGGUACAUAUUGAGCAUUUCACAUGUUGUGCUUAUGACCCAUGACCUAUCGCAUAGAAGUGUGCGCACAAUACAUAAAGGUAAGGAGAGUAUUUUAAGUGAUGACCCUACUUCGUGACGUAUUGCAAUUGCACUAUACAGAGGCAAAACUACUAAGUCCUACUUUUACACCGUUAACUAAAUGGUGACGAAGUGGGAUGUACGUUGAACCAAUAUGUGUUAAUUUGACAUGAGUUGAUAAAUUAAUAGUAGAAAAAAAUGGUCAAUUAUUUUGGAUUAUGUUCUAUUUCAUUUUAGGUGAUAUGUUACUUUGAAUUGUUGUAGUUUACUUUUGAUUUAGCAUAGAGAAACUUGUUUUGGAUUAUGUUAAGGCAAUCUACUUAUAUUCUUUCUAUGUAGUGGUCAUUGGACACUUCUGGCUAUUAACGCAUACGAUGAGAUAGUUUAUUAUAUUGACUCACUUCGAACAACAUCGAGAGUAGAUAUUAGAUACGUAACUGACACGUAAGUAAGCUUUUUUAAUAUAUGAUGUUUACCGUCUUAAAGUUCACUUCAUGGCUAAAGUGUAGUUGUUUCUUGCAAAUAAGGCUAUUACUAUCUUUCACUCUCAGAAAAAUAUUCAAUCAAAUUGAAAACAGUCAAUAUGGAAAACAUUAAAGGUAAAGUGUAAACAUAUUUAUUUGUUAAUUAAAAGUAUACGGUAUAUGAGCUAUCUGCACCAUUAAAUAUAUAUUUUGGUAAUUUAUGUAUGUACAAUGUCCUUUGCAAGUUGGAGUAGUUGAAUGUGGGUACUAUGUGAUGAGAUACAUGAGAUAUAUAAUUACUAAUGGGAGCAUAGUAGUCACAGAUUUGGUAUGUUGUGUUUAAAUGAUUGUUUGAAUUAUUUUCUACAAUUUUCAAGUAAUCAAAGUAUUAAUUUUAAUAUUUUGGGUUUCAUAUCAGAUUGAUAUAAGGAGCUCAUAUAGUCAAUUCGAGUUAGAUGAAGUGCACGUGGAGCUUGCUGAUUUUUUGGGUGGCCACAUUUGAUUUUAUGGUGAUUAUAUAUUUUUUGGGUUAGAUAGACAAGUUUUGUUGAUACUGGAUAUAGGUGUGAUCGAUAUUUUGUUGAUAUACUUGAUAUAGCUAGGUUAAUUAGUUUAAUUGAUAUUUUGUUGAUACACUAUAGUUAGGCUACACAUAGAUGGAAAGUUUAGGUUGUUGUUAGAAAAGUAUAGGCUAACUACAUGUAUGUAUAUGGUUCAUUGAUAUAUGUUAAAAUAUUAUUAUAGUUCUUUGAUGGAAAAAGUUUACUUCAUUCAAUUGUUCAAUUAAUGUGUACUUUAGCACAUUUGUUCGUGUACUCUCUUGCUUUACUUAUAUACGUUCGACAUUGUUGAACUUCAAAACAUAUGCACGAUAAAUUAUGAAGAUAUUUUAAAAUAUAUAAUUUAAAAAAAAACUUGAUAUGCAAAACGUGUUAAGAGUAAAACAAACUCUGGACAUAUUGUAAGAAAUGUCAAUAAAUCUUAUAUAAUUGAUGUUUAUAAACUGUCAAGUAUAAUUCUACUUGACGCUUAAAAUCUGUUAAACAAAACCACUCUUGUUCUUGACACUUGAUUACUUGACGAAUAAAAAACAUAAAGUAAUCUCAUAUACUUGACGCUUUUUACUUGUCAAGUAAACUGACUUUACUUGACGCUUAAAAACUAUCAAGUAUACCUCCUUUAUUCUUGGCACUGGAUUACUUGACACAUUUAAAAGCAAUCAAGUAAAUAAAUACUUGACAGUUUUUAAGCAUCAAGUAAGGUCAGUUUUGUAGUAGUGCCAAUUUGCUCAAUUCUAACGUUGUAUGUAAUUAUUUGAUAAUUUUUUGUGCAAUAGCUACUAUCUUUCGUAUACAUUUAAUUCUUUAAACGACAACCCGACCUAAAAAUCGUUCUCUCAAUCCCUUAUAACACAACUAAUUAAAUAAUUAAAGUCAUCAUACAGUGGUUAUAUAUAAAUGAUAUACUUUUAUAAAUACAACACAUACAAGAUAAACACAAAUGAAAGCAACAUUUGAACAAUAAAAAACACCUAGUGUACUUUUCCCUUUUUUGCUACCCAAUAGCAUACACUAUUACAAGAAUUGAAUUCUCAAACAAGAUUAAAACAAUGAACAUUAAUUAAGAACCUCUUUUAUUUUUUAAUUCAAAGCAUAUGGGUCAAAGAAUCAGACGCUCAAAAAAGUAUCCAGCAAUACAUAAUAACUUUUCUUGUUAAAAUGAAAUGGAUAACCCUAAAACACUUUUGAAAAGUUUUGAACUUAUCUUAUACCACAAAACCUAAAGUAGAUGUUGAUACCACAAAAACUAGUAUAAAUAUAGAUCAACCAAAAGAAAGAAGCCCCAUCACAACAAAACUCUCUCUUAGCAAGCAUAAAUAUCAAAGAAGUGAUACGAAGAUGAGCAGCGACUCAAAGAAUGAUAAGUGGAUCCAAAUCCCUGAUACAAAAACACCUUGCGUGAUUGAUCUUGGAAAAUAUGCUGUGGAUGACUACAACAAAGCACACAAAGAUAACCUUGUAUUCAAAAAGGUUAUAAUCGGAUGGUAUUUGGAGAUAGAUUAUGAUAAAACAAAGCUUCGUCUUAUUAUUGAAGUAGUAAACAGUAAGGGAGAAGUAAUAAUAUACGAAGUAGUGAUUGUGGUAGAUGAUAAAGAUGGAAAAAAAGUGAAGACACCCAUUUCAUUUAUUCCUGGGUAUAUAGAUGAGGUGGAUCCAUGGUUAUUUUGGUUUAGAAUUAUUGAUAUUAACGACCCUCAUGUGCAACAGAUCGCCAAGUUUGCAGUGGAAAAGCAUAACCAGGAUAAUAAUGACAGUCUUGUUUACAUUUCCACAAUUGUAUGCUGGUAUCGUUUGUUGAGUCCAAUUUUAAAACAAUAUAAAGUUUAUCUUAAGGCCAAGGAUUGCUUGGGACGUGUGCGGGAUUACGAAGCUUUGGUUGAAGAAGAGAAGAAACUGCCUAAUGCGAUUCUGAAACUUAUAUAUUUCAAAGUUAUACCAAAGAAAUGUUGAAAACUUGCUACAUAUGUGGGUUUUGUUAUGUUAUGUGACGCCCUUGACUACAAAUAUAUAUAAAUAGUCAAGUGCCUUAAUAAAAUAAAGCUUUUUAAAAUAUAUAUUACAACUACAAGAAAACAUGCUGUUAUAGUGGUUUAUUUAGUCUAUAGUAAUGGUUUAUAAACGUUGCAACUCAUCUAUAGCAGCGGUCUCGCUGGCAAAACCGGUGUUGAGAGCUCAAUUGAAUGAUUCAUUUACUCAAUGCUGUGCCUUUUCUUUUUUCCUUUUUUAAAGUUUUAGUUCGAUUAACAAAGUUAUUUUAUGUCAUAACUAGUAGUAUCAUGAUCAAUUUACCUGGAAUGAAAACAAUAUUUGAUGUUUGGUUACAAAAUACGUUUCCUUCCUAAAUUUUAUCAACAAAGUAGCCAUUUACAUUAUUGACUUUAUUUUGUAAUGAUUUAGUACUUUAUUAGUCACAUUAAAGUAAAUUUUAUAAGAAAGAAAAAUUUACAAAGUAACAAAAGUUGGAUAUUUAAUUGAAAGAAAAUUUAUGUUAUGUUUAAUUACCUAAAUUAAACUAUAGUCAGAGGUGCCAAACAAAGCAAUUUGGGGUUAGUGGAUUAAGUAUAUAAUUUUUUUUAAAAGAAGAAAUAAAAUAAAAGAGAAAUGAGAAAAGGAAAAAGUGUUUGUUUAGGUUAUUUAUUCAUUUCUCCUCCAUUUCCAACAUUUUCUGUCCAAGGAAAGCAAAACCAAUAAACUAGCAGCAGUAGCAAGAGGAAAAUUUAGGAGAUUGGUGUGUUGGUGAAGAGGAUUUCUUGGUAGCAGUUUGGUGUGUUGGUGAUUUUGAGCUGUAGAAAUGGAAUUAGAUGCCAAAACUUGUCGGGUUAGAAAGUAAGUUCAAUUUCUAACAACUUUUAUGAAGCAUGCUUGAGCUGAAACUAAUGAAAAGUUGAUUCAAACUGAAGGAGACGAUAGACCCCUGGUUUACGCACGAAUUUGAGAAGUCUUUGAUGUUUUGAGUAGCCCGAAGUGUAAAAGUUAAAUUAAAAGCUCUAAUUGGUCAGAUUAUAAGUCUUAUUCAAUUUCCUACAAUUUCUAUUCAGAACAUUUGAGCUGAAAAUGAUUAGAAAUAGAUGAAAUUUCAGAAGGAAGCUGAAGGCUGUUUGAAAACGUGAAAUUGGAAUCGUCUCUGGUUUGGGGAAGUUCUAGGAAAACCCGUUAAGUUUUAGAUCUUCGUUUCUUCAGUUACAAUGUAGAGGAUUUGAAAAUGAAGAGUUUGGUAUAAAUUUUACUUAAUUUGGUUAAGAACUGAGUAAAUCAUGAGCUGCUGAAUUUAGAAUUGUGAAUAUGAAAAAUUUAGGCCAGAGUUGUGAGGAGUUUAAUUAUGUUUUUUAAGUUGGAAGUUGACAAUGAUAAAUUUUGUAUGCCAUAGUUUGUAUGUCAUGAAAUGACUAGGAGAACUUUGGAUUUUGAUACACGAAUAUAGUUUGUUUUGGCCAGGGAAGAGAAAAUAGAGCAAAUCUAUAGACUAAGGACCUAACCAAUAAAACGUCAGUGAUGAACAUGAGUUUUAAACAAAGUUCUAAAUUUGAUUUACUAAACAUGAGUUUUAAACAAAGUUCUAAAUUUGAUUUACUAAAUUAUAUUUAUAGCAUCCUUUGAGUUAAAGUAUUUUAAAUAUACUAGAUUUAUAAAUGAUUUACAAAGGGUGAGUUUCAAGUUUAGAAAUGAGUUAGAAACAAGCAUAUUUUAGCUGAGUUUACAAAGCAUUCAAGUUUGAGAAAUGUUUCUUUUCACAUGAGAUUUAUAAAUACACGUAGCUGAAUGUUGAUCAGUUUUUAAGAGUAUUAAGCAAAGUUAGAUUUAAAACUUGUUUGAUGCAAGAGAUUUAUACGAGCAUGCUACUUUAGUUGAAUUAAAAUUUGAUGUUUUAGUUUGUAUAUUUGAGAUCUACUGGGUCAUAGUAACUCAUACUUAAAGAAACUCAACAUUCAAAUAAUAAAUCUUAUAUUUAAAAGAAACAUUAAUCAAACUUUUAUAAACUCAACACAAACAUGCUUGCUCCUAACUCAUUUCCCACUUAUAAAUUUAGUAUAUUCAAAAUACUUUAACCCAGAGUAGGCUUUAAAUAUAAUUUAGCACAUCAAGUGUAGAAAUUCAUUUAAAACUCUUUUUUGUCAUUAACAAACUGUUGGUUAGGUAGUUGAUCUAUAGAUUUUUCCUAUUUCCUCUUCACGUGCCAAAACAAACCAAUUACCGGAUAUCAAAACCUGAAGUUUCUAGUUAUUUUCAACUUCCAACUUAAAGAACAUAAUUAAACUCAUCAUAACUUUAACCUAAAAUUUCAGUUUGACAGUUAUAACUUCAAUAGUUUAUACCCUUAGUUAUUAUAUACACAAAAUGAGUCAAGGCAACUAUGGGGUGAACGGACCACAUGGCGGUGAAAGGCUAACCAAUGUGGUUGUGUCAGUGGUCUGAGCAACAAGAAAUGAAUCAGUGGAAUUCCAGAAGAUGUUGAUGAUGAUGUAGUCAUCAAAGUAGUCUAUGGUAUGGGAGUGAUUCACGUCCUUCUUGGCGGAAGGAAUAGUGAAAACUAAUGUGUGUUUUAUGAAAUUGAGACGUUGAAGCCCGUUUUUAAUACAAUACCUUUGCAAAAAAAAAUGUUUAAAAAAAAUCACGAAGAAGAAGUUUAAAAUGGAGGGGAAGGAGAUAAAAAUUAAAAAAAUUACCUAUAGGUUUUCUUUUUCUUUAUUUUAUGUUAUAUUAUAUUUUAUUUUUCAUAAAGUCGUUUUUUUUUUCUUUUUUCAAUUUCUUUUCUUUUCUUUGUUUUUCUACAAAGUUAUUUGAUUUUUUUUGUAUGAAUAGCAAAAUAAUUUUAAAAAAAUUUAAAAUAUAGCAAAUAUAUAAAUAAACUAAAAAGAAUUUGAUGAAUUUUGAUAUAUUUUGUUGGUAGUUUUAAUAUUUUGGUAUUUUGUAAAAUGUUCAAAAAAAUUUAUUUUAGUUUUGAUUCCUAUUUUUUUGUAAAAGAUAUAAACCACAUAAUAGAAAUGCCUCGUAAUUUUUACUGUUUUUCAAAAAAAAAAUUCUAAGCAUAUUUGGGGUAUGACUUCUUCCAUUCAUCUCCAAUUUUGAUAAGAGCACAAGUAUACAAAAUUAUUAGUAUACAAAACUAAAAUUGUUAUCACUGCAACACUAAUUAAUUAAUUAAACUUAAAGAUCCAGCAUAAUCCGAGGCUAUAACUAUCACAAAAUUUACAAGCACACCUACCAUACUAUAUUACGUAUUAAAGUUGUGUGAUUAAAUUAUUACAAAUUAUAGGUACAAUAACUAAAUUGUUAUAACCCAAAAUUCAGACUUUCAUUUUAGGGACGAAAAUGGUUUUCAUCAGUAUUUUUCUCAAUUCAAAAACAUAUAUGGUCAAAGAGAAUCAUAUUCCCAUGCAAGUGGCCGGCCACAAGUAUAAUAACUUUUGUUGUAAAAUGAGAAUUGGGAUAACCCUAAAUUUUGUUUUUGAAAAGUUUAGUACUUAUCUUGUAAAAGGUAAAAGCAAAAUAUAUGUUGAUGCCAAAAACUAGUAUAAAUAUAGAGCAGCCGAAGGGGGAAAAAAGCACAUCACAACAAAAACUUUCUCUAAGAUAUCAAAGAAGAGAGAUAGCAAGAUGAGCUGUGAUUCCAAGAAGACGUGGAUCAAAAUCCCUGAUUGUACUACACCUUGUGUGAAUGAAGUUGCAAAAGAUGGUGUAAAUCAACACAACAAAGCGUCAGGAGAUAGCCUUGUUUACAAAAGGGUUAUUGUAGGCUGGUUUUGGGAGAUUGAUGAUCAUGCAAUAAAGCAUCGUUUGAUUAUUGAAGUAGUAACCAGCAAGGGAGUAGUGUUAAUAUAUGAAUUAAUAAUUGUGGUAGUACAAAAAGAUGGAAAAAGAGUGAGAACACUCAUUUCAUUCCUUCCUGGCUAUCUGGAUGAGAAGAAUCCAUUAAUAUUUUGGAUUAAGAUUCCUGAUGUUAAAAAAAGUUGUGUGCAAGACUGUGCAAAGUGGGCAGUGACUGAACAUAACAAGAUUACUCAUGAUUAUCUAGCAUAUGAUUCAACUGUUGAAGGUUGGUAUCAUGAGGUGAAUCCAUUUGUUAUAAUAUUUAAACUUCAUAUUAAGGCAAAGGAAUGCAUUGGACGUGUGAGGGACUAUAUUGCUGUGGUGAAGGAAGAAAAACCUCUCACUGAGAAAAUUAAGAAACUUGAAGACUUCUAUCUUAUCCGACCAAAGAAAUAAAAGUAGAAAAACUUGCUAUCUGUGCGGGUUUUUGUAUGUCAUGUUAUGUUUACGCCCUUGACUAUAACUAUAUAUAAAUAGCCAAGUGCUCAAUAAAAUAAAGCUUUUUUUAAAUAUAUAUUACUCUACCUAU
rnacentral:lncRNA from 1 species